rnacentral:lncRNA from 1 species
UGCUUCACUAGGAAGGUUUAAUAUAGUGAUUUGAUGACAAAAAUGUGCUAUUAGACCUUAGGCUCCAGUUUGUUCUUGGGCAACAAAGUUUUACUUGGAGAUCAAGUAGUUCUCGUACCCAAGGAUAUUUAUCAUAUAAAGUUGCCAUGUAUCAAGUGUAUGAGGCAGGUUACGGAUGAAGAUUAUUUCUGGAAAUGAACUAUCCUCUGCAGAGAUUGUGACGCCUAGGUUAUUUUUUCUCUUUAGCUUCUACUUCUUCCUCCCUCCUCUAAAUUCUGCUCUUCUCUCUUUCUAAAGUCUUUUUAAUAUACAUAUUGAUCAUAAUCUUCUAAAUUUCGCCAUUCUAAAAACUUUUGAAUUCCAAAUCAAUGCACACCCCUUCUACUUGUAUAACCCCCCAUUCACACAAAACCGCAGUUACAGUAAGUAUUAUACAUGGAUGAUGCUUUGUUCUGUCACUGAAACCUUUAAGAUCCUGCUUUAGAUGAACUACAUUUUCUUCCAUAUGCCAAGAGACAGAAUCAGCAUUAGAAGAAAUCCAAGAGGAGAAAGACAGACAGAUCAAACCUUUUCAUAGUCAGAAAAUGAUGAUGGUGUCCCAUUAGACUCUGUCAGAACUGGAUCCUUGCAUGGACGAGAAAAUUUCCAUGCACAUUGUUCCCAAAUGCGUGAAGUCCAUCUACUAACGAGUUGAAAACCUUCAACAACCAUAUCAUAAACAUUUCCUUUUACUUCCUUCACCCACUCAAUAUCUGCACUAUCUAUUGAUCUCAGUAACACAAGCUGCACAGGUAAAAAUUUAUUAGUGGAAUGCUUUAUCAAACUGAGGAACAUUAUCUUGACAGAACACAUAUAUACAAUAUCUAAAAUCAUAUAAUCGCUACACAAUGCUGCCUGUGAACAAACCAAAUCUUCAUUAUUGAAGAUUUAUUUAUCUUUGCACGGUAUAUGCAUGUUUGCCAAAGCAAGCAUCACUCAUCAACAUUCACUGAUAUGUUAUAUGUCUAAAAAUAGAUGCGCAUAAGCUCAAAAACACAGGAAUAAUUACCUGAUUCAUAGAUGAAGCAAAACGUAUAGAGAAGUCAUGCUCAGCACGUAUGGCCCCAAUGUGGUUGACGAUGAGAUAGUGUCGCUGAUAAGUGAAUUGGGUCAAGACAUACAGCAAAGGAAUAUGGAUAAUUAUUUCUAAAAGAAAUAUGUUCAUUCCAGCAGGUUGUCUUACUUUUACAAACUUAAGGUUAUUUCACUUCCAAAAAACACAUGGGACAUUGCAGAGAAAAAGACACAUGGAGGUAUCCAGCAAGGCUAAUGAUAUCAAUGAAAGAUUUUUUAGCAAAACAACACAUGGUCAUUCACAAUAUAACAAUAUAGGAGUCUGAGAAUCCACCGAAGUCAAACACAUUAUUACAUCUCAUGACUAUUAACUCAUAUUCAGUUAUAACCCCUUCUAGAAAAGCCCACGCACAUUUGAAGAUUAGAGGUUAUGGUUAGUAGAUGCAGCGAAAAACUUGGCAUCUAUUUCAAGUACUAAUUGAUCUGAUGCUUGAAAAAAAAUGAUCCUUCAUUGCUAUUGAAUUGAAAUCUGGAACAAAAUGCAGAGAGGCAGAGUGUGAGAAAUAUCUGGUAAAAAUUAUACUUCAUUAGACAAGGUAAAGAGGUUGACAGACAGACAGAUGGAGAUGGAGACAGAGAAAGACAGAGACCAACACAACUCUUACGAUUUAUGAACUCCACUAGUUAAGGACACAGCAAACACCUUUUCAACUCUCAUUCAACUUUGGUAGGCAUGUUUGAUUGCAUAUGUCUUGCUGAAUAUCCUUGUACAUAUCCACCUAUCUCUUUUACCAGAUCAAUUUGGAGAGAAACCGGAAACAAACAAAAGACACACACAUUUUUUAAAACAGUCAAAAGAAGAGGUGAACCAUCAUAAGUAUAUGAAAUUUGAACUAUGACUACAGAUCAAUAAAAAAGAGCAGUAAGAACCAAAAAUAACAUGCUGCAGAAUAAACAAACUCACACCUAAAGCCAGUUUGAUAUUAAACAUCAUAAUCUAACUUCUCUAUUCUUGCAACUACAAUACCGAGAGAAGCGACAUAUUAAAAUAUUUAAACAUUGAAAAGGAUAUUCUUGUGUCUCGCGUGGUGGCAGCUCAUGAGUUGCUGGAAGAGUGAGAAGACGAGUUUGAGAUGAAAAUUUAGGGAAGUACACUGACAACUCUUUUAGAAUUGCUGCCGGAGAAAGAUGAAGGUCCGGAAAUGCAGGGAUAACCGGAUCAUUCUAAGCAAAAAGAGCAAACCAAGAAAGAAAAACCAAAAUGAAGUGAGUAAGUUCAAUCAGAUAUGAACAAAAUACAAGACAAUGUGAUAAAAUAAAGUGCAGGAGAAUUACUUUCUUAAGAGCUGACUAUGUUAGAAGAUAGCUAAGCCAAUAUACCUUGAAUAUACUUAUCAAUCUGUUGAUCUUCACCCUCUUAUACAGUGACUCACUAUCUUUCUCUGAUGAUGCAGCUAAGACAACAAGAACAGGAAGUACACGAAGAAGAAUGUGCCGCUCAGGGAACAGAAGGGCAAAAUCCAACUCCAGUGACUCAACAGCAAAAACUAUGAGAACCUGCAGAAUGUCUUCAACACUGCAGGAAGUUAAGGAACUCAAAUCACCAAAAUCAUGUAGGAGAACUGAUACCAGGAUAUAGUAAGGAGUUUUUAUUCCAGCUGUAUAUCAAAUAACAUAUCUUAGUUUACAAAACAAAAUGAAGUUACACAAGAAUGACAGUAUCUGCACAAUGGAAUCAAUUCCUUUCUAGAUAUAGUGUAAUAAAAAAUCACACUGAUAGACAAGGUUGCAAAGAGCUAGUGGAAACCAGACAACAACAAAUAGAAAAAUGGAUCAUUCCUUUCUUAUACUUUUCUUGUUAUAAUCAUUUAUUGGGAGCAAGUGCGCUCUGUGGUGCUAAACAAUAACAAAGAUGUCAUAACCUGCAAAAAACACUGGUCCUUAUGAACUGAUUUUAACUGCUAUAAGGAUCAUACUUAGAAGCAACACCAUGAACUUCAAGUGGAAACCUUUUCAACUAGGGAUAUGACAAAAAUAUACCUUAGUUGAAUUCCAGUGCAUCUUAUGUUGUAUAACUACCAAUGAAUCUCCGAUCAGGAAAACUUCAUGACAACAGCAAAUAAAAUCAACUCACACACACAAAAUGAAGAGCAUGGAAGCUUGUCUGCCUAUUCAAGAAUUAUAAAUAGUUUGCGCACGUAUUCCUUUUCCACAUAGACUAUAACAAAAAAGUUAAUUUCAUAGUUCAACUAUGCAGCUUGAUGAUAAAGUUCUUCCGAGAAAAUGUGCUCCCAGACAAAGGAUACUUGUUUACACGAAACAUUUCAACAUGCAAGUUGAGCAGUAUUGCCCACCUCGUGCUCAAGAAGAUCUGCACAGAAGUGAAAUGAUUGAGAUCAAAUCCAGAAUGUGAUCAUCAACAAAAUGAUCUUGUAUACCAUCUCCUAAUUAUAAAUGAUGAUCAAGAAUGUAAUUUUGGAUGAGUAAGUUUUUAUACACUGUCAGUGUACAUUUUUUUACACUAGCAGAUUUAGAUCAUUGCCACAUAACAUGAAUUCAAAUUUGAAAUUCAAAUCAUGAACAUGUGGCAUUGCUACAUUCAUAACUGCUAGUGUAAUAAAAUCAUUACACUAUCAGUGCAUAAAAAGUUAAUCCUUUUUGGAUCUGCUUCACAAGACUGAAAAAAAAAAUUGCAUACCUGUAAAUCAUCUAAUUCUUCCCUCAUAGUGUCAGUUUCUUGCCACUGUACACUCACUUGAGUAAAUGUCCUGACAUAUUAAAUAUGAUUCAAAAAUGAAUAAGCUACUAAGUUGAAUCAGCAAGUGAAACUCAUUUUCAUCGAAAAGGUUUAAUCCAAACACCAUUAACAACCUAAAAAAAGUGGCCCAUGACAAAUUAUAUGUCCAUUGAAAGAAAUUGCAGAAAUAUAUGCCAUAGUUGCCUCUUCUUGAAAUGUGACCACGAAAUUUCGUUUAGUUAAUUAUACAAAUAUAUCAUUUAAAUUCAACCCAGUGCAUACUUUUUAUUUAAUUUUUUUCUAGCAGGGGAUGGGUGGGAUUUAAGAAGCGGGAAGGGGGCAGGGGAAUUAGAAGCAGUGCAUACUUGUCACUACAGCAAAGCACAACCAAGUAUUGCAUUAAUAUUAUUUUAAUAAAUCAAAAACAGCACCUCCAAGCUCCAAAUAAAGAAGCAUAACUCUACUACUCAUACUACAUAUACUGAUGAUGGAUUAAUACAACAACUCAUAGAGAUCUUUAAUUACAGUACUUGAGAUUACUUAUGGAACUGAAUCCCAACCUGCUCUAUUUAGCCCAAUCUCAAUCAUUCCAAAAUCAAUCAUAUCUCUUGAUGUUAUCUUCCUCUUCCCUAGUUUUCCAGCAAUUUCUCAUGUCUAUUAAUUUAAUAUCAGUAUGUUAUGGUCUUUAUAUACAAAUCCAGACCAAUUUAAAACAACAUUCUGUUUCCUUUGCAUAAUAUCUCAAAAAGGUAUACAUCAGUACUACUUACCAAUAUACAAGUUUCACACCUUUUCUUUCCAGACUUUCCACAGACAAUAUCAUUUGUCUAAAAUUUUAGGAAUUAAGUACCAAAAGCUUGUGGUUGAGUGAAUGUAAAUUUAGCUCCCUAUUGUUUGAAAGCUAUAUUUUGCUCCUUGUAGUUGAAAUGUUAGUUUACAUUAUAAAUAGCAGCUGAAGAUUACAAAAAUUUUGACCAAAAGGAUACAUAAGCCAUUUUCUCAUUUAAAAAUAUUUUUUAUUCUCUUUCCUUUUUCUUUUCUCUUUUUUCUCUUUCUUUCUUUUGCUUUAUUGCUGUUCCGCCUUCACCUUCCCAACAGAAUAGACCCAAUGCCAACUCCCUCCUUCAUCCUGCCAGCGAACAUUGCCUACGUGUUCUCUACCCACCCUUUAAAAUUCCAACACACUUCAAGGUUCAAUUUUACUUUUUCAAGUAGAAUUCUAAUCUAAUACCAGGCCUAAUUCAUAACCACCAAAGUUUCAGUAAAUUCAAGUUCCACACCACAUCUGCCACUAUUUAUAGACUAUUCAUUUCUUUUUCUUAGGGUAAAAAACAAAAAAGCCCCCUGUGGUAAACCUAAUACACAGAAAAGCCCCCCAUGGUUUCAAAAUAUACAACACGACCCCUCAUGCUUUGAACUAAAUUGUAAAGGUGACGGAAUCCGUUAAAGUUAACGGAAAUGGACAAAAUGACCAAAAUACCCUGAUAUAAUUAAGCAAAAGACAGUUCAAAAAAAUCAUUUGUUUUAUUCUCUAAAUAGAGAGAAUUGAGGGUUAAGGGGUAGAAUAGGUAUAUUUGAUAAAAAUUAAGUAUAAAAUUUUUUUUUAGGUUCCAAUAAGUCAUUUCCAUUAAAUUUAACGGAUUCCGUCACUUUUACAAUUUAGUUCAAAGCAUGAGGUAUCGUGUUGUAUAUUUUGAAACCAUAGGGGGCUUUUCUGUGUAUUAGACUUACCAGAGGGGGCUUUUUUGUUUUUUGCCCAUUUUCUUAUCAUUGCUAUUAAUUCCAUGAAAUUUUUUGGAAAUUUAAGUUGGAAAAGGGAGUGAGGACCCAUGGCCUUUUUUGUUCGAUUCGCUAUGCUCCUGUCUUUUUCAAUAAAUUCAAGGAUGAAAUCGGGAUCUAUGCAAAUCCAUGCAAAAAAGGAAUCCAAGAUACAGAAUCCAUGAAAUUUUGCCACCGGUCAGCUGUGGCCUUCAGCAGUGAAUGCAGUGGCAAAUUGUGAUCCUGGUCACAGAUAUGGUGACCUUUUUGCAAAAACAUAUUAUGGGGAAGAAGCUUUCUUCUAAAUUUUCAUCCUUACCCUGAAAUAUUUCUGAAAUUGUAUUUUUGCCCUACACAUUCAUUUUAAUUUCUAGUUAACCUUGAUUCAAAGGGCAAUUUGGUAAUUUCAUCAUUGUUUCAAUGGGAAAGCUAACAGUUUCACUUUAGUUCAAAACCAUAAGGACAAGUGUAGGUUUCCUAACCAUAGGAAGGUAAUGUUAACAACCGCUUAACCACAGGGGCUUUUCGGUAUUUAACCUAAAGUUUAAAUAUUCUCUUUGAUCCUUUAGCUUAGUUUUCUAACAUCACACAAAGGUAAAAAACUCAGAUACUUGGAAAAAAUCUGUUUAGGAGAUUUCAUAUUUUUGUACUGGGGAUCCAUCAAUCAGAAACAAAAGAAAUAUGAUAUUAUGAUCCAACCCAAAGAAGAUUUUCAGCCCAAGAACCAUCCUGUACCAUUAUUUAAGAUAUAAUGACCUUCCAUUUCAGGUCAGAAGGACAAUCACAGUAGUAGUUCACAAAAAAGUAGUAAUAACAAUAACAAUUGGAGCAGAAUACUAGAUAGCAAUAGUGCUUUCUUAUUCUCCUCUUUUCACCACCAACCACUGCAACAAAUUGAUUUAAUACAGAUUUUGUCCACGACAAAGAACGGCAAGUGUUAAUAGAAGAACCAAGAGCAGUGCCUUAACCAUAUUAGCCACACUUAACAUGGAAAUUGUUUCCAUGAAUUGCAAAAAGGAAAUUUGAUAUGAAUGUCAACAGUUACAUAUCAAAAAUUUUUCCCUCACUAAAUCUAAACCAUUUAGCAUCUCACAAGUGAGAAACUCUGAACCCCACUCUAGUAGCUCACAAGUACCAAAUGUGAUUUUAAUGCAAUUAAGUUUAUACGUGCUUUUAUUACGUUCCUAUAGGGGUUAACAAUCAGUCAUAGGUACAGAUCAGGAAGUCAAAACCCAAAUGUAAAUUUAAACCAUCCUCAACAAGGCUUAAAUCUUGCCAACUUCUGUUUAACCAAAUUGACACUUCCAAAUUCCUCAUGGCCACUGUUGUGGAACUAAAGUGAUUAGGGAAAAAACCCUGCUUAGAAGAAGUUUUCAUUUUAAUAUUUUCUCAAAAUUACCUUUUCUGCAGAAAAAAUAAAAGUUAAAAAAUAAACAACACCAACCUGUUGCUCAAAUCAUAUUAGUAACUAUCAAAAAGCCAAACUUUUGAACAGAGCCCUAAGAUUAUGCCACUAAUUAAAGUAGAUAUUCAAUGAUUUUAUUAUUUUCAGUGUGUCAAAAUUUAUCCUGCAAGCAAAGAUAGAAGCUGGUAAACUGAAUUAAUUUUCUACUCAAGUCCUUCUGCUUGUCAUAUGUGACCAAAAAUUGAUAGAUUUUAUACCCCCAAGAAAUGUAUAAUGAUUGUCUUUUUCUCAUACUUAAGACUCCAGUACAGUACCUAACAGUGAAACUAGAAGUAAGCAAAGUGCUUAGAGGCUGAAAGUUGUAUAACAAUAGUCUUUGCCUCAAGUAUUAACUCAGACUCUUAGCACUUAAAGAACCAGUCCCAGUUCUUUAAAUGUAUAAAGAUGUUGUAUGUACACCUACACGAAGAAAUUUAGAUUAUAAAGUCACAAAUUUUAAGUUAAUUUAGAUUUUUUCAGUGAGAGCACUUCAAAAGUGUUGAAAACUAAUAAGCACCCCAUUAUUUAUGUAAUUGGUGCAUUAUCAUUUCAGAUGCCCAUGAGUGUCAGUCUAUUUCAGACCGCGGAAGUAUAGAACCUUGGCCUAGCAUAGUAAGACUCAACAACUCUCCUUGACCUCAUUCUACCAACCAAAGGAAAUAAGAAACAGUAUAGCCUCUCACAACAAGUCUUAGAAAGUUUAGAAAGUAGCACAUAGAGCAUACAUCCAAAAAUACAAUGAUAUUUUUGCACAUUAAGAAUCUAAUGCAUACCUCUUAUACCAAGAAAAAUCAUUGGGAAUGCUUGCCUUUGCAUUUUUAAGAUGAUCGAUUUGGACCAAAACAUCAAGUAAUUUUAACAUAGACCUGCAGCAAAACCAAGAAACCAUAAAAAGAUCCAUAGGCAUGAACUAUCACACUAAAAUCACAUUACAUCAUGUGAAAUAAAUUGAAUCAUUCAAACGAUGUCAUAACUAAUCAGUUCAUGAGAUAAAGACAGAACUGAAGGAUUUCAACUGCAAAAUUGCAGGCAAGAAUAUCAAGGUCACGGAGACAGGACAUCAUCAUGCAUUUUGUGUCCGAAUGGGAUUUGAGAAUUUAAGAGACAAAAAAGAUAAUAUCAAAACAGGUUGUCUGACUGCACAACACAAAGGAUUUAAAGAUGCCUAGUAAUAGCUGACAAUACAGAUCAAUUAAUUAAAAUUGUCAUUUGGCAAACAGCUUCAUCAGAUACCAACUCUAAAGAGUGAGCAAGGAAUUUAGCUAAAUCUGCAUUCUGUUUCAUGAGCAUAAAAGAAGAAAUAUUUGAGGUUCUUAAAUCAUACAGAACAGUCAACUUGUGUGAGAAAUUGCAGCAAUCAUAACACAUCAAAAGCUUAAAGCUGCAUUCUAAAAAGAGAUGAAUAAAAUGUAUAACCCAUCUUUGAUUGGAUAUUUUAUAAUUUAUACAAGCCAUUAUCUAGCCAGAUGUCCUCAAAUCCUAGUCAAAUUUCAGAUUUAGCAUUCCAAAUUUGGACAGCUACAUGGAUAAUCAUUGUACCAUGAGAAAUUAGUAUUUUCCCAAACACUAUCAUGAGAAAGAGAUGAAAUCUCACCGAGUUAUUUCAACAUAAACCAAUAGAAGAUGCGGAAUCAGUCAAAUAAGAAUACAAUGGAUCAAAAUGUAAACUUGUAUGAGGUUCAACAUACAUUUAUGCAGGGAUCAGAACCACAGCCAUUAGAGUUGCAUUUGCUAUUGUAUAUGACCUAUUUGAUCCAUUUCAGUUUGUUGAGAAACUUAAACUAACAGAACGUAAAGGACAAAAAAGCCAUAUAAACGCACCAAAGAUGGGUUAUGGUAGGGCCAUUGAUACGCCUCUCAGGCCUAGAAAAUCGUUGCAUAUCGGCAGCUAGCUGCAUUGAUUAGCUUUUAACUUUAGGUAAUAUUUUAUCAUAUCCUAAAACCACAAAGGCCAAACUAUACAAUACAAUCAUGCCUUAGAGGAAGCUGACGCUUGCCACCGUUGAAUUUCACGUAGACGGCUCAUUUCCAAAUCAAGAACUUGAUAAGUUUCUAAAUACAAUUCAGCCUGGCUUUGCUUCAUAGAAUCUGGAAGCUGAUACAAACAAAUCCACAUAUCAAGACAAGAGAUAGAUGGUCAGAGCAGAAUAGAUUUGUUUUAUCAACUAAGAAAAUUAAGACUAUGACUUAAAGAUAUGAAAAUUUGAAAACUUUAUCUGACUGAAUAUCAAGAAGAAGAACAUGCAAAGAAUCCCAGAAUUGCGUUAUAAGUCCAUACAAGUACUAUUACACACCCUUCAACUUUCAACACGAACCUACAUACUUAGCAUGCUUGCUUUUCCAUUCUCAUUAAAUUUAAAAAGAGAUAUCUAUUUUCUAUACAUUCUUGCAUUUUACUUCCUAAAAUAGCAAUUGCAGAACAAUGUCCUUGGCAAACACAGAAUCGACAAAUAAAACAAAGGCAUACUGAAAUGCUACAAAAUCAGAAACUAAAAUCCACCUGAGGAAGUGCUUUAACGCAACUCCGGUAAGUAUAAAGCACUGAUCCCAUUUCCUUUCCUUCUUGUAUUAACACAUUCUGCCAUAAUUCCAACGUUCACCAAAAGCCACCAGAAAAUCAACGAAAAUUUGUGAAAAUGGCGCACCUGGCUGCCUAAUCAAUAUCCUAUAAUAACACAGGUAAAUAUUGUACCAGCUGAUUAAUAGCUUUUGUGUCUUCUGACAAAGAGAGACGAUAAGCGGCAACAUCACUAUAUUCUGCAAAAUUAAAUAAAAAGCAAUAAUGAUUUAAGAAAAUUAAAAAUCCAAAUUGCAACAAAAAUUUCAUAAUGCAAUAUCAAAAAAUUAAUAAAAAAAAUUAAAUUUCCAUAGCACUCUAAAUUCAACUCAAAAAUAAAACCUUGAACAGCAAAAAGUUCCAAAAAACGAAAAAAAAAAUUGCUUACCAACUGGACUAGUAGUUGCAGCUCUUUCAGUAGAAACCCAAAACCCUGGGCCUUGAACUUCCGGUUGAUCAUCCUAUAAACCACAUAAUUUUCCCCAAAAAAAUGUAAAAUUUAUUAAUCAAAGCAAUGCAAUGAAAAUAUCUUUAUUGAAGCUAUUAAAAGUAGUUAAAUUAAUAAGUAAAUUACCUCUAAUGAGAAUGUGGAGAGAGCAGCAAUAGCUUCUUCGACGGGAACCGCCAUUGAUGACAGAAAAAAUGCACUAAUUCAAUUAAUCAUCCGUAGAAAAAAACCAUUAAUGGAGAUUUUUUCCCUUUUUUCUUCUUAUUUUUGGGGAAAUUCACAAAUUUUUGUGUCUGAAGAAGACUAUGAAGUAAGAGAGUAAGAAUUGAAAAAAAUUUUGGGUUGAAAUGGAAAGCAAAUUUGGAUCUGGAAAGAGAAAAAGAAAAAAAAAAAAAGGACGUACAAGUAGGCAAGCACAAUGUACAACUCGUUUUCUGGUACUUGGUGGGCAAAAAGGUAAAUUAGUAAAGAGGUAUUUUCAUUUUCUAUUAGUGGGUAUCCACUUAUGUCAUCAUUUCUUGUAUAAUGGAAGGGGAAAAAUAAGGGAAAAAGCCAAAGAGUAAUGAUUUCAAAAUUGGAAGCUUUGCUUUUACUCCUGGUUGAGUUGAAUGUUAAUCCUCCUCUUCUUUAAUUCGUAACAGAUUUAUGGUAUUAAAAAAAAAAAGAUAUAUGGUAUUAAAAUUAUUUCAAUAAUUUCCCCUAAGGUUUUUAUAGUUGAACUUGGCACCCCUGAGAUUUUGAAAAUAUUACAGAUAUUUGCUAAUUGAGACGCGUUUAUAAAAUGUCAAUCAAAUCAGAAAAUGUGAGACUCUGUAGAAACUAAUUUUGGAAGAUAAAAAGAUAAUUUAGCCCUACAAAUGAGGUGUUGAUUUCCCUCUGUAUUAAUUGAUUAUAAAUAUCAAAAAGUGAGGACCCGCAAAAUUCCCUUAUUUUAUUUUUUCGCAUGCAUUUUCUUUACUUUACUUGAUUAUAUUAAUUUUUCAAAGAUUUUUAUAAGUGAGUAUAGUUUUUAAAUAAUUUUUCUAAAAUAAGUUAGUUCAUGUUAAGUUUGAAGUACAGUAUGGACGUAAGACCCGCUAGUGCGUUAAAUGCGAUAAAAUUUUGCCGACUAGGUGAAAUUUUGCACAAAAGAAUAUUAUUUAUAAGGUGUUAGGAGAUAAUUAGAGGAUAACUAGAUAAAAUUACCAUUGGAAGACAAGGGAAAGAGAGAAAACUCUAGAAAAGGCUAAGUGUUAUGAAACCUAUGGAAGAUGGAUUUUGACUAAAGUUGUCUUAACUUUCCUAAAACCAAUUUUGACCUAAUUUCUUCCCAUUUUUCCUUUGUCUUGGCCGAACCAUAGAGAGCAAAUAUAUGGAGAGAAAACUUCAUCUUACACUUCAAUUUCUUGUUUCAAUCUUGGGUUCCAACCAUCAAAAUUGCAAACUACUCCAUAAAAGUUGCUUACUAAGGAGGAUUAGAGGUGUUGGCGGAGUGGUUUUUUAGAGGGAAGUACUAAGCUACCAUUUUUCUAGUGUUUCUAAGGUAACUUGCCAAAGAAAUCCCUCUUUGCUUCCAAUAAUUGCAUAUUUGUGGCUUAGGGUUGUUAAAUGUGUAGUUUUAUGCAAUAUUCCAUGAGUUGAGGUGGUGACAUGGGAAAUUUCAGUUUUAUGGUGAAUUUUCUGCUCUUAUUUGAUGUUUGAGCAUUGGUCAUGGAUUGAUAGUUUUGUUAUGUAUAAUAUUGAGUUUUUAUAUGUUAGUUUUGCUUGCCUACGAAAAAUUCCAGCUUGUGAGUCGAAAUUUCAGUUUAGGGUUUCAUUUGCUAGCUUGAGUAGGUGAUGGUUAUAUGCUUGAUUUGGUGAGUUGUUGCCUUGAUAUGUAUAUGCUUGAGUUGAGGCUAUUUUGUGGUAAGAAUGAAGCCUUGAAUUGGCUGGAAAAACUUAGUAAAAACAAAGGAGGUGCUGCUGAAAAUUUGUCCGUGGGAAAUCCUAGGCAGUCUUGGGAAAUCUGCUAUUUCUUGUUGUAGAAUGGUGAAAUUAAGUUCUGUUUGUUGCAUUUGAAACUAGAGUCAGAGUACUAUUAAUUGUGAAAAUUUCAGCCUUUUCUCAAUUCCAUGAAUAUCUAUGAUUUUUCAAAGUUGACUGAAAUUGCAUACCUGUUCUGUCUUUUACUGGAUGAGGUAGCAACGUGAGACUCGAAUUUGACUAACUUAUGGAUCGAAUCUGACAAAUGUGUCUUCUGGGAAAUUGUAAUCCUUUGUGUCUAUUUUCCAAUAUAUAAAGUUUAUCAAUUUUGGACUUAAGAAUUUUGAGAUAUGAUUUUUCAAAUAGUGUUGUGCAAAACUGGAAAAUGCUAUUUUCUUAGUACAGUUCUUUCUUUCAUUUCCCAUUUUAAGUUUGGAGUUGGUAAAUCAUUGUAGCUAUGAUUUUAGGUAGAAGUGAAGGAUUUUGGGGUCACUCGUGUCUUUAGGACCAACUAUUACCUUUUCACUUCGAAACCGCAUUUUUGCUUUGCAUUAGUGGUUCAUUUGGAUAGGCCCAUGACUCGUAAUCGAGUCUCACUUGUGAAUUCCGUUCACUAGGUUUUGGGAGUCGAGUCUCAAUUAUUUUUCCUUGAUUGUUCUACGACGUGUCGGUGAUCAAGGGCGUAUUUCGGGAGGAAACUUUUGAAAUUGUUUUUGCUUGAUCUGGUGAGUGUACCCCUCGCAUGACUUGUUGCUUAACUAGUUUACUUGUACUUGCAAUCUGUGACUUGAAUGACGGUGACCUCUGUUUAUUUUGAAUGAGACGAGGGUGUACUUUAUCAAACUCGCUCUCUCGCAUGUUUGUCUGGUUCUUGUAUUCCUGUAUACAUCUGAAUCUGUUACUUGUGCAUGAUCUGAUGCCAUUUGAAAGCUUAUAUCCAACGACCUUCCUGUUAAAUCUGACCUCAAUCCCAUUGGUAGUUAAUUGAAUCGAGUCAGCAAGGGGCUUGGUCGAGAAAAAUUAACAAACCAUGAGGGCCUGUUUCUUCAGAAUCUUUGAGUAUUGGAGACUCUGGAUUCCUGGUAUACUCGAGUAUUACCACCUCUGUUCCUGUUUAGGCGUUCGGACCAGGUAAGGGGUAUGUUUGGUGAACGAAAUUUGGUAUAAAGUGGUGCUCUACUGGACUGGUUACUUCCUUGAAAGUUGACGGAGUGUCAACUACUACUCGAUCAAGCUCUGGUGAUACAAAAGAGGAAAUUGCCACUUGAGAGUCAUCUGUAUCCUUUUACUUCCUGUUUAUCUGUGGUGUUCAUUCCUCUAUAUUUGAUUGAGUACAAUUGUACUUUUGUGAUUCUUGGCUGCUUGUUCUUGUGGUACCUCAGUGAGCGUAAACUCACCCCCGUUACCUUUUGUUUUUCUUACAGGGAACAAUAUUUUGGAACCGUGAUUUUUGAAGAAAAGAAUAAAGCUAGUUAUAGCUAUUCUUUUGUUAAAUUCCUCUGUAAUAGUAAACCCUAACUGUAUUUUAAUCAAGUAUAAACAUUUUGGGCUUUGUAAAGACUCCAAUGUCUAUAUUUAUGCAAGCAUAUGGUUACGUAUAUUAAUUGAAAUGCAUGUUUCUCCGGCUAUGAGUACUUUUCCUGUAUCCGUUGGAAAGAAUCGAAAUUCUAUUGCGCGUUCGGUAGGGUUUAUGUGUGUUUCGGCUUAGUAGUCCUGACGAGAGUUGGACAGGCAACUCGCUAACCCUUGGGGUACGCCCUAGGGGAAGGUGAGACUGUCACAGGUGGUAUCAAAGCUGUUUCGCGUGGUCUCUGCGCGGAGUAAACUUGGCCCAAGUGGUAUUAUGGUCCUGAUUUUGUGAAUGAGUGUAAAGAACUAAGUACUCUUUUGAGCCCUAAGUUUCGAAUCAUGAAAUGUUAUAGGUUCCUUUAUCAUGGUACUUUGAGAGAUAGAUAUGUAUGUCAAGGAGGAACCUCAAAUGUAGAUGAUUUAUUCUUGGAACUGGCCAGUUCGAGUUGUGAAUUAUUUUAUUUUGGAUUCUUGUACUCGAAUACUAAAUAGAUGAGAGUUUAGGUUAGAAAUGACCAGGACGAACUAGAAAUUUGAUUCUACGGAACUUCAUGUGAUGUAUUAGGGUAUCAUUAAGUAUGAUUAUCCCUAUCUAAAAUUUAAACUGUGUUCUUCUUGUAGGUUAUGGACGGAGCGAAUGAAAAUGGUGGAGGUGAGCUAUCUCGGAGGCGUUUCCGAGUCAUUGACUAUGAGGAGAAGCCGGGGACCGAUUCGACGCUGGAAUACUGCUAGUCGGACUAGGGGUUGUACUCGUUGUCAGAACUACUCCUAUAUCGACCAUGUGAUUGUGGCGGUAUUUGGUGAGAGGAAAAGGCUUAGGCGUGCCCGUGAUAGGGAUCAUACUGAGAUGUGAGACUGAGGGGCAUCAUGAGGAUGCAAGCGAAUCGGGUUCGCGAGCUCCAGAGGGACAUCUCGAUGGAGCAAGAGAGGACGAAUGCUCUUCAAGAGCAGUUACAGGUAGUUAAUGACCGCCUUACGAGGGUGGUCCGAGAGGUUAGAGAUAGGUCCGGAGGCAUUAUUGAUGAAUUUGAAAUGUUAAUCCAGGGAGUGAUUAGCACUAAUGCACAAGUAAAGGUUCCGGGCGAUGGAUCUCCUAGGGGGGAGACGCACCUAGUUCUACCCACGGGGAAGAGUCUGUUAGCUCGGUUGGAAACUAAAUUAGAGCUCGUGUGAGCCAUAAUUUGAUCCCGCGUGAUGGGGUAGUUAGGGAAAGCCCUCAGUUAGCUGUUUUUGUACUUUUGGUCUAAUUUGUAUAUAGUACUUUUGACGACUCCGCUACUUUUAUGGGAUUAUUUUGUUUGUAACUGACUGACUGCUACUGUGUGUGACUUGUUUGAUACAGUUGUGUUAUAUGUAUAGUUGCAUUUUAUUUGUAUAUGCUUCUUGUCACUUGUUCCUGUAUAUAUUUAUCUUUAAUAUCAUAUUUAUGUUUCGACCUAGAUUGAUUAAACCAAUGGAGGGAACCCGUAGUGGACGAGCCCGUGGACGCGGAAUUAGACAACCCUUGAAUGAAGGGAGUAAUUGAGAACCAACGCCUGAACCAAAUCCUGAAUCUAGGAUCGAUCCUAAUGCUCAGGUAGCCGCUACUUUCAGCGUAUGACCAAACUGUUGGCCCAUGUAGUGGAACACCGGGUCAAAACCCUGUUAACCAACCUAAAAACCCUGGUAAUCAUGUAGAGGGUGAGGAUAGAGCCCUUGAACGAUUCCAAAAGUUUUCUCCACCAAAAUUUCUUAAAGGACAAGACCCAGACGUAGUCGAGAAGUGGUUGGAGAAGAUGAUCGAUAUUUUUGCUGAAUUGCACUAUACUGAGGAGAGACAAGUAACCUUUGAUGUCUUCCAAUUGGAGGGAGCAGCCCAUUCUUGGUGGAAUGUGAUAAGACUGAAAUGGGAAAGAGAACAAACACUGAGAACGUGGGUAAAUUUCAUGAGGGAGUUCAAUGCAAAGUAUUUCCCUCCUCUAAUUCAAGAAAAGAAAGAAGAUGAAUUCAUUAGCUUUCGUUAGGGAACUCAGACUGUAGCCGAAUAUGAGAGCCAAUUUACUCGGUUGUCUAAAUUUGCUCCCGAACUAAUUGUGACCAAGCAAAGGCGAAUAAGGUGGUUUGUUCAGGGACUGAAUGUAGAAAUUCAAAAGGAUCUAGCGGUGGCCCACUCAACACCUUUAGUGAUGCUAUGGAGAAAGCCCAGUGAGUUGAAAGUGCGAGAUUACAAGUUAGAAACUUCCAAGCGAAAAAAAAACUAUUCCUGAAAGCAGUUUAGAGCAAGGGGAUAAGAGUAUACCUCCUAAAUUUGGAAGAGGAAUUGGUGGAGUAAGAAUUCCGGGGAUAUCAAGAAGUGCCUCACAGGGAGGCUCGAUCUCUGCUUCUUAUGGUCCCUGCGGGUAUUAUGGGAAGUCGAAUCACACAGAGGAUAUCUACUGAAAGAAAGCGAAGAAAUGCCUACGUUGUGGGAGUGCGGAUCAUCAGAUCGCUAAUUGCCCAGUCCUACCUCGAGAAGGGAGUGGAAAUCGACAGUCAACCAAGACCAACCCUGGACAGUCGACGGGGGAAGGGGCUGGACCGAAGGUGCAGGUUCGGAUGUAUUUUCUAGAGCAACAUCUGGUCCCCGACUCCCCUAAGGUCGUAGAAGAUACGAUCCCCAUAUUCCACCGUUUAACUAAAAUUUGAAUAGAUCUUGGUGGUCAGAAAAUUUCGAUGACGAAAUUUUUUUAAGGGGAGAAAGUGUGAGGACCGCAAAACUCCCUUAUUUUAUAUUAUUUUUUCGCAUGCAUUUUCUUUGCUUUACUUGAUUAUAUUAAUUCUCCGGAGAUUUUUAUAAGUGAGUAUAGUUUUUAAAUCAUUUUUCUAGAAUAAAUUAGCUCAUGUUAAAUUUGAAGUGCAGUAUGGACGUGGGAUCGCUAGUGCGUCAAGUGCGAUAAAAUUUUGCCGACUAGGUGAAGUUUUGCACAAAGGGAUAUUAUUUUAUAAGGUGUUAGAAGAUAAUUAGAGGUUAACUAGAUAAAAUUACCAUUGGAAGACAAGGAAGGAGAGAAAACUCUAGAAAAGAUCAAGUGUCAUGAAACCUAUGGAAGAUGGAUUUUGACCAAAGUUCUCUUAACUUUUCUGAAAUCAAUUUUGACCUAAUUUCUUCCCAUUUUUCCUUUGUCUUGGCCGAACCAUAGAGAGCAAAAUAAGGAGAGAAAACUUCAUCUUACACUUCAAUUUCUUGCUUUAAUCUUGAGUUCCAACCAUCAAAAUUGCAAACUACUCCAUAAAAGUUGCUUACUGAGGAGGAUUAGAGGUGUUGGUGGAGUGAUUUUUGAGAGGGGAGUACUAAGCUACCAUCUUUCUAGUGUUUCUAAGGUAACUUGCCAAAGAAAUCCCUCUUUGCUUCCAAUAAUUGCAUAUUUGUGACUUAGGGUUGUUAAAUGUGUAGUUUUAUGCAAUAUUCCAUGAGUUGAGGUGGUGACAUGGAAAAUUUCAGUUUUAUGGUGAAUUUUCUGCUCCUAUUUGAUGUUUGAGCAUUGGUCAUGGAUUGAUAGUUUUGUUAUGUAUAAUAUUGAGUUUUAUAUGUUAGUUUUGCUUGCCUACGAAAAAUUUCAGCUUGUGAGUCAAAAUUUCAGUUUAGGGUUUCGUUUGCUAGCUUGAGUAGGUGAUGGUUAUAUGCUUGAUUUGGUGAGUUGUUGGUUUGAUAUGUAUAUGCUUGAGUUGAGGCUGUUUUGUGGUAAGAAUGAAUCCUUGAAUUAGCUGGAAAAACUUAGUAAAAACAAAGGAGGUGCUGCUGAAAAUUUAUCCGCAGGAAACCUUAGGCAGUCUUGGGAAAUCUGCUAUUUCUUGUUGUAGAAUGGUUGAAAUGAAGUUCCGUUUGUUGCAUUUGAAACUAGAAUCAGAGUACAAUCAACCGUGAAAAUUUCAGCCUUUUUCUCAAUUCUCAUGAAUAUCUGUAAUUUUUCAAAGUUGACUGAAAUUGCAUACCUGUUCUGUCUUUUACUAGAUGAAGCAGCAACUUGAGACUCGAAUUUGACUAACUUGUGGACUGAAUCUGACAAAUGUGUCUUCUGGAAAAUUGUAACCCUUUGUAUCUAUUUUUCGACGGUAUAAAGUUUAUCAAUUUUGGACUUAAGAAUCUUGAAAUAUGAUUUUUCAAAUAGUGUUGCACAAAACUGAAAAAUUCUGUUAUCUUAGUACAGUUCUUUCUUUCAUUUCCCACUUUAAGUUUGGAGUUGGUAAAUCAUUGUAGGUAUGAUUUUAGGUAGAAGUGAAGGAUUUUGGGGUCGCUCGUGUCUUUAGGACCAGCUGUUACCUUUUCAUUCCGAAACCGCAUUUUUACUUUGCAUUAGUGGUUCAUUUGGAUAGGCCCAUGACUCAUAACCGAGUCUCACUUGUGAAUUCCGUUCACUAGGUUUUGGGAGUCGAGUCUCAAUUGUUUUUCCUUGAUUGUUUUAGGACGUGUCGGUGAUCAAGGGCUUACUUCGGGAGGAAACUUUUGAAGUUAUUUUUGCUUGAUCUGGUGAGUGUACUCCUCGCAUGACUUGUUGCUUAACUGAUUUACUUGUACUUAUAAUCUGUGACUUGAAUGAUGGUGACCUUGUUUAUUUUGAAUGAGAUGAGGGUGUACUUUAUCAUACUCGCUCUCUCGCCUGUUUGUCUGGUUCCUGUAUUCCUGUAUACAUCUGAAUCUGUUACUUGUGCAUGAUCUGAUGCCAUUUGAAAGCUUAUAUCCAACGACCUUCCUGUUAAAUCUGACCUCAAUCCCAUUGGUAGUUAAUUGAAUCGAGUCAGCAAGGGGCUUGGUCGAGAAAAAUUAACAAACCAUGAGGGCCUGUUUCUUCGGAAUCUUUGAGUAUUGGAGACUCUGGAUUCCUGGUAUAUUCGAGUAUUAUCACCUCUGUUCCUGUUGAGGCAUUCAGGACCGAUAAGGGGUAUGUUUGGUGGACGAAAUUUGGUGUAAAGUGGUGCUUUACAAGACUGGUUACUUCCUUGAAAGUUGACGGAGUGUCAACUACUACUCGAUUAAGCUCUGGUGAUGCAAAAGAGGAAAUUGGCACUUAAGAGCCAUCUGUAUCCUUUUAUUUCCUGUUUAUCUGUGGUGUUCAUUCCUCUAUAUUUGAUGGCUAUAUUUGAUUGAAUACAAUUGUACUUUUGUGAUUCUUGGCUGCUUGUACUUGUGGUACCUCAUUAAGCGUAAGCUCACUCCUGUUACCUUUUGUUUUCCUUACAAGGAACAAUAUUUUGGAACCGUGAUUUUGAGGAAAAGAGUAGAGCUAGUUAUAGCUAUUCUUUUGUUAAGUUCCUCAGUAAUAGUAAACCCUAACUAUAUUUUAAUCAAGUAUAAACAUUUUGUACUUUGUAAAGACUCCAAUGUCUAUAUUUAUGCAAGCGUAUGGUUACGUAUAUUAAUUGAAAUGCAUGUUUCUCCGGCUAUGUGUACUUUUCCUGUAUCCGUUGGAAAGAAUCGAAGUUCUAUUGCGCGUUCGGUAGGGUUUACGUGUGUUUCGAUUUAGUAGUCCUGAAGAGAGUUGGGCAGGCAGUUCGCUAACUCUUGGGGUACGCCAUAGGGAAAGGUAGGACUGUCACAUUAACUUUGGCUUAAUUAUAGAUUACCCCUCCCAAGUAGGGAUUUGUAGCAAUUUACCCACGAAUAAAUAGUCAUAUAUGUCAGAUCGCUUUCCAGAAUUGUGAAUUGCGAAAAAAACAAUUAUGCCCUAAAAUACUUAAUUCUUUAAGAGUGUUUAGAUAGCUAAAUUUUUUCACAUAAUAUUUCGCUUACAUUAUAAAUACAUUUCCCAAUCCAUUUUUAUAUUUCCAACUAUAGUAAUUAUUCCAAAUACAUCACAAAAAGUGUUAUAGUAAUUAUUUCAAAUACAUCACAAAAAGUGCUAUAGUAAUUAUUCCAAAUAAUAUUUCAAAUAAUACUCUAUCCAAACACUAAAGUUUACCCUUGUGGUGCCAAAUGUUUUCAUCUUUAUUUCAUAUUUCUUCUUUCUUUAUUCUUUAUCCUUAUCAAAAAUUUUCUUUGACACUUAAAUAGAUGCUCUUAGUUUUAUUGCAUACAUGUUACUCAUUAUACGAUUUUUGGGACAAAUUGCACGUUUGGUCAUUCACAUUUAUUCAAUACAUGUUAUUUAUCUAUUCCAUUUUUAAAAUUUUUCUAUAAAAUUGCAUUUUGCAGUUUUCUUAUUGUUUUCAUUGUAUUGGUGCUAGUUUGAACAAACGGUUAUAAUGAUAAGUCAUAAAAUAUAAAAAAAUUAUUUAAUUAUUGAUUAGUCAUUGUUUCCAUUUCUUCUUUUCUUCCUGGCUCAAAACUAUUGGCUAGUUUUGACAAUGCAACUAUUUGAUUCAAUUAUUUGAUAUUUUGUUAAAAAUUUGGUCCCAAAAAAAGGCAACUACUUUUAGAAAUUUUCCAUGGAUUAAAGUCGUGAAUCCUAAGUUUUCACAAAUUCAAAUAUGAGCAAUUGGGUGUUGUUUUGGGUCAAAUUUUUGGGGGUUUCUACUUCAUUAUCAUCAUCAUUGAUCGUGCAUCCUAUUUGAGGUAAUAAUUCUUCACUAAAUGGACUCUUUCACAUUUUUUAGUUCUUGACUAUCCUUUAUUUUGUUCAAACUUUUCGAGUGUCGUUAAUUUGUAAUAUUUGGUGCUCUUUAAUGAUCUUUCUGUUGACAACGAGAAGGGAAAUUUUUUAAAACAAGUCCAUGAUCGUAUCUAGAUGGGCUAGAUUGGAUUUUAAGGGCGGAUGAUUGGUGCUAUAAUUGUCUCUAUCAAUUUGAAUGAAUGAAUAGUUCAUGUGAUGCUUUACUUGGGUCAGUGGAGUAUGUAGUGUAUGUUUGGACCUUAUGAAUCAUAUAAAUAUUUGAAAUUGUGACUUGUUGAAGUUUUGGAUAAUUCUUGAUAUAGUUGAAAAUUGAUGUUAAGUGACAUAUUUAACCUGAUGUAGAUAACUAUGCUCUAUCAUUUAGGGAGUUAUAACAUAUUGUAUUUCAUGAAUGAGCAAUUAGAUUGAUGAUGGGAUUGUGUGCUUAGAUCGUUUUUGUUUGAUUAAUUUGUGAGUAUUUGUAAUUAUUGAAUGAACUUGUUGCUAUUAACUUGUAUGAUGAAUACUCUCUUAUGGUUUGGAUGUAAUAUGUGGCAUCUAGAGUAAAUUCAUUCUUGUAUUGUAUUCACCUUUGUAAUUUUAGUGAAAAAUUUUGCAUUUUAUUAUGUUCAACUAAAAUAGAGUGAUUAGUGUGAACUACCUAUUUAUUGAGGUUUAUUGCUAAUAAUAUAGGUCUAAUGGCUCCAAUAAAGAGAUCUACCUUGGCUACUGCUAAACAAAGUGUGGUUUGAGCUCCCCAACUAACCAGAAAGAUGGUGAGUCUACAUUCACUGCUCGGCCUCCUCGUACCAAAAGGGCUGCUGGUAGAUGUCCAACUGAAGAGAAGUCCACUUCAUCUAAAGAGGAAAAGCGACAACAAGAGGGCCAAACUAAGGAAGAGGAGUAGUGUGAUCAAACACCGAUUUACCUUGGCAGCCAACUAAACCUGGCAUGACAAGAGGGCGCAAGUUUAAGCCAAAGUUCUAGUUAAAAAAGACAUUGCUUCCACGGUCAAUAACCAUUAUCAUGUGAAGGAGACCUUUCAUGAACUUGGGUGGCGAGGAUCAUUUAAUUACCCUAACUGCUAUUAUCUAGACUUAGUAUGGGAGUUCUAUGCUAAUAUUCGUCGCAAAAGAGCACAUCACCUUGAAUUUGAUGAAAUUGUCAGCACCGUUAGAAGAAGAAAAGAGUCCAUAUUACAAAAAACGAUGUGGACAAUUAGCUUAAUAUGCUCAAUCAGGGACAAGAAGAAGAUUUGAAAAAUGCCUUCAUUCCUCUAAGCGAUUGGAACAUUAACGACACUCUUCAAAGCUUGAAGUGAAAUAUGGAAUCUCCUACAAGAGUAAGAAAAAAACUUUGCACAUCUCUUCUUUUCAUAAGGCGAGUAGAUGUAAUGAAAUCCAAACAAAUGAUGUUUAUUUCUUAGGAUGCGUUUGAUAAAAUUGAAGUCUAAAAACUAAAAUAUGAAAUCUGAAUCCGUUAAAUUAGUGAAUUGUUAAAUACUGAAUUUGAUACAUUUGAAUGUAUAUCACAUUAAGUGAUAAGGAAAGAAUGUAUCACUUAGUUUUUGGAACAAAUUUUACCUAGAAAAUUUAGUACGACUUAAUGAAUUCAAAUGUUCUAGUUUUGAUUAUCAAACGCAUCUGAAUAUAUUAUGAUCUGAACCCAUUCACUUUAAAUGUUGAAUUGAAUUAUCAAAUAGGGUCUUAAACCAGAUUAUUUGAGGGGUGCUUCAGGGAAAAUAUUGUCUCUUAGGCAGUAUUUUCAUCAAACAUAUGUGGGCUAUGACUAGGAGUAAGAACUUAUAACACGCUUUUCUAUAUGUUCGAUUCCUCAUCAAAGCUUUUCAAAAGGCGAGUCACUUGUUUGGAUUAACACCAGUGAUCAUAAAACCCACCGACGUCUUAGGAAAAGCCACCUACAAAGUUAGCAUUUCUACUAAUUUUGUUAGGAAUUUAAUUCAGGGAGAAGGCCUAGUCACCAACAAUACCAAAAAGGGGAGGAGCAACAAGUGGGAGCCCCCACUUCUCAGCCAACUAGUGUACUCAAGCUUCAUCAUCUCCUCCAAACACUUUAUCCGGAAUGGAGAAAGUUAUUGACAUGUUCAACUGUUUCAAGAAGAAAAUAAUGUGAGAAGUUCAGUGCUAUGAUGAAUGCCUUCAACAGAUCGAAACAAAGUUGGGCAUUAAGGUGCCACCAACUCCAGCGCAAUGUUUUUAAACUCGGACCGGCAAGUGAACUAGUAGACUGACCGGUUCACGGUUUAAUCAGUUCAUAAAAAAUAAAAUAAAAUGAUAUAUAUAUUUUUGAGUAAAUCUUAUAUACACUGACAGUGCAUACACUGUCACCGUUGGAUCCAUGACACAUAUGCAAAAAUUGAACUUUAAAUUCAAAUUUUAUAUAGUUGUCAUGCAUCUAUACACUGUCAGUGUAGGGAAUAUUAAUCUUAUAUUUUUCACAAAGAAACCUUCAUAAGCAUCGGUGAUAUGCAUGUUAGGAAGUAUAUGUCAAAGAAUAUUCCAUGCUAGGAAGUGCAUGCCAAGGAAUAUUCCAUGUUAGGUGUAAAAAAAUUACCAUUAAUACAUUAGAUGAUUAUCCAACCAAAUUUAGAAUCAGUACCUUUUUUAUAUACUUAUCAUCUUUAACAAAUCACACCUAGAUUGGUGGAGAAAUUAGGUUAGGAAACUUGAGAUAAAUAUAAAAAAAUGAAAAAAUGCUAAAAUUUACUUUAGGAUGACAAACCCAAAAUUCACAAAAAAUUUCUCAAAUUAAGGCAAGAAAUUUCGUAAAUAAAUUCCCAAUAGUUAGGACUUUCUAAUGAAAUGUCAAGAAAUCAUCAAUAAAUUCCCAAAAUUUAAGACUUUCAAAUGAAAUUUUAAAAAAAAUUGUCAAAAUUUCUCUAAAAUUAAGACUUGCAAAAAUGAAUUCCCAAAAAAAUCAUCAACAAAUUUCUAGAAAUUAGGACUGUCAACUGAAAUUCCAAAAAAUCAUCAAUAAAAUUUUGAAAAUAAGGAUUAUCAAAUGAAACUCCUAAAAAUUCGUCAAAAAAAUUCCCAACAAUUGGAUUGCCACAUGAAAUUCUUGAAAAUUCCUUGACUUUCAUCUCAAACUUCAUGGAAGUUGUCUUUAGUUUUUCUCCCAUGGCUUGCAAUCCUUUCUCCUGUGAAUCUAAAGUGACCUUGUGAUGAUAUAAUCUUGAGAAUUUAAUCUCAAACUCUAUUAGUUGCACAAAGAAAAACCAAAAAAGAUUAUUACUGUAUAAAAUAACAAUAGAUAUAUUAUAGCAGUAAAACAUUGAAAACAAAAGUAAGGAGAAAAGUGAAAGUAAGGAAAAAGAGCAGAUGAAAAAGAACAUGCAAAAUUGGAGUUUCAGAUUUGAUAAUUAGAGAAAAAAGGGAUUUGCACUUCAAAAUUGGAUAAUGAGAGUAGAGACGGAGAUGAAAGAGGAGUUGGGGAGCCAUAGAGAUUGCAAAAUAUCAAAAGCUAAAAGAGAUUAGAGGAGAGUUAGGAAAAGAGAAAAAAAAGGAACACCAAAAGAUUGGAAGAUGAAAGAAGACGGCAACAACUUGUUUUGAGAGAAGAGUUAGUCUUUGUGUUAUCUUGUUGGUUUGAGAGAAUGCCAAAUGAGUUUUAGUCUUUAUGAUUUCUUGUUGGUCAAUGUGAGAACCCGUAACUUUUCCAUUUUCUAGGUUUUAUUAUCUUUCUAGGUUUUCUUAUCUUCAAUGGUUUGUUUUCUGCACUUUCUGUAUCCGGAAAAUUUUCUAGAUAAUUUUAUGAGUAAAUAUAGUUUUUAGAUGAUUUUUCUAGUAUCAAAUAGGUUUUGAGAAAUUAAGAGCGUAUACCGGACGUGGGACCCACUAGUGCGAAAAGUUCGGAAAAAUUCGGCCAACUAGGUUAAGUUUUGGAUACUGGAAUUAAUUUACGGUGUUAAGAGAUAAUUAGAGGAGGCUAAGUGGAUUGGUAUAAGAGAGACAAGUUAGGUAAGUAUUUAAUAAAAGGUGACAAGUGUCACCAUUUGAGUGGUUUACCUUUAAGACCACUAUUCAUGGUCUUACCAUUUGACUUAAAUAAACCAAAAAUGACCAAAAAUCAUCAAAAAUCCUCCAUAAGUGGCCGGCCCUCUCUUUCUCUCUUUUCUCUCUCUCUUACUCUAAGCACAAGGAAGAAAACUCUUCAAGCUUGCUCCAAAUCAUCAAAACCAACCAUUGAAACUUGCAAUUUCUCCAUAAAACCUCUUCAAUUAGUGUUUGUGAGUUGUUGUGUGAAGUUAUUUGGAAAGUUAAGGUGACCAAUUGCUCUCUCUCUUGUUUUUAAGGUGAGUUGUGAAGAACCACCCUCCUCCCUUAAUUGAUGCUUAAAUCAUGCUUAGUGGUAGUAUGAGAUGCAAUAUUAUGGAUUAUUUCUUGAUUUGUGGUUGAAGUGAUGAAAUUUUAUUAUUUUUGGGGAUUUUUCUGUUUUACUAUAAGCAUGAUUGUAUGGCUAUCUAUGAUGAUUGGAAAUGGUAUAUAAUGACUCUAGGAGGUGGAAAAAGUGAUUAAUUGCAACCAAUUUCUGGUUUGGAAGAAAUUUCAGAAAAUUAGGGUUCUAGUGGGAGCAUUCUGCCCGAAUUUUUAGCUCCUAGUUAGAGGCCGAAUUGGCCUUGGCUUAAAACAUGAAAGUUGUAGGGAAUGACAUUUUAGAGGUGCCUACAAAAUUUCAGGUCAAUCGGAGUAGUGUAGAAUGAGAAAAGUCGAAAUUACUAUUUCUGUUCUGGUUUUACCCGAAUGUAAGAAUUGCGCCUGUAAUUGGUUGUUUUGGCUGGAAUUGCUUCCGAAUUGGUUGUUGAGGCCUUGUGAUGAAAUGUAGCCCUGUUUCUUAGCUUUCAGUUGGUUUUGGAAUUUCUGGAUUUGGACUUGGAUAGCCUGAUUUAUGAUGUUUCCGCUAGAAUGCGUUCUGUGAAUCUGUUUUUGUAAUUCUGGUAUAGUAUCUCGCAUUUUUGACCUGGUUACACUCGAAACUGGGUUGAGUGACCUUCUGGAAUAUUGUAACCCUAUCUCUUAGCUUCGAAACGGUGGGUCUUUCACCUUCAUCCGAUAAUCGUAGUGCCUUUGGCACCAUUACCGUAAAAUGAGGACAAAAACUGUUUUUUUCAGGGCUAAAGCUAAAUCAUUUCCGGAUUUUCUGGUUUCCUCUAUUGUUUGUGUAUGCUUAGGGAACCCUGUUUUGGUAGUAUGUAGAAUUGGUUUAUGACUUGUAAUUGAGUCUUAUUGUGUUUAUUUGAAUAGUUUAGGGCUUGACUUUCAUAUCCGGUCAUUUCCUAACUAAAUGUUGUACUUGAAUGCCCUUAAGCCUAGUGAAUGGCUUUUGGGAAUGAGAUUAUUUUUGUACGAGAUGUUGGGACUGUUUUGAGGAAAUAAUGAAGCCAUGAUGGCUGGAAAAUAGGUAAACAUAAGGGAUAUGCUGCCGAAAUUUUACUUGAAGGCUAGUUGGAUUUACUUGUGAUUUGAGCGAGGGGCUUUUGGGUUGUUUGAGUCUAGGUUUUCAUGUUACCUUUUCGUUUCCAAAAAUCAUGUUUUGAACCCUUGCUUUAGUAAUUAUUUGGGCGAGGCAUACGACUGGUAGUCGAGCCUCACAUGUGCAUUCUGUAUACUCGAUUUUUGAAAGAGGAACCUUCAAUUGUUUUCCUUGGAUUAUUUUAGGGUUUCUUGGUGAUUAAAGCUCUCUUUUGGGAGGUAUCUGUACUUGAACCGGUGAGUGUACCACUCCCCUUAUUUGUUGAUUAACUUAGGGUCUGUAUAUGCAAUCUGUGAUAUGAUCGAAUGUACUAUCUGUUUAUUCUGGUUGAAACGAGAGUGUACUUUAUCAUACUCGUUCUCUUGUCUGUUCAUAUGCCAAUUUACUAUGUAAAAUUUGAAUAUGUUAUCUGUAUCUGUAUCUGUUCGGACGUCGUUUGGAGGCUGAUAUCCAACGACCUUUCUGUGACCUCUGAGCUCAACACCUGUGGCCAGUUACUCGAGUCGGGCCGGCAAGGGCCUGGUCGAUUAGAUAACGAACCACGGUAGUCUGUUAUGGAUCUUUGGGUAUUGAAACCCCUUGAUUCCGGUAUACUCGAGUAUUACCAUUUCUGAUCUGAUUGGAUUUCGGGCCCGGUGGGGGUAUGUGAGGUGGAAGGAAUCGAAGAAAGUGGAGUCUACGGUAUUGGUUACUCCUUUAGCGUUGACGGAGUGUCAACUAUUAUUUCGAUCAAGCUUCGAUGAUGCUAAUGGGAAUUUGGCUCCUGAGAGCCUGAUUUGAAUCAUUGGUUGCUUUACUUUACAUCUGGCAUGUGUACCUGAUUUGUUAAAUGUGAAAUACCAUGAUUUUACUGCUAUAUGUCUGGUACCUCAUUGAGCGCAAGCUCACCCCUUUCUGUUUCUUUUUGUUUCCUUACAGGAAAAUAAAUACUUUUGGACUGCAAUUGAUAAAUGGUUGCCGAAUUGAGCUAGUUGGACAUAUUUUUUUGUAUAGCUCAUGUAUUGAAACCCUAAAUGUACUUUUGGGACCGUUUCCCUUUUGACUUGGCAAACCAGACAUGUAUCCACUUUUGAAUACUUUUGUAUGCCACUUUGGCUUGUAAAUGCUAAGUUUCAAGAUGUGAAUGUUUGUUUGAUAUUUGGUUGGGUUCUGACGGGUCGGUUACUAUUCAUGGCCGACUCCGGAUUUCAUUUUUUUUAUUUUAGAUUAUUUUGCCAUUUUGACUUGUUUACCCGCGUUGGUAAGUUUCGAAAUGUAUUAGCUCGUUCUAUACCGAACCGUUAGUCCUGGCGAGAGUUGGGCAGGCAGUCCGCUAACCCCUUUGGUUCACCUUAGGGGGAGGUGGGGCUGUCACAGUCAACAUGAGUGAAACGAGUGAGUAAAAAUCGAUAGGUCAUAGUUCAAACAGUUUGACCAAUUUAACGGUUUUGACCGAUUUUUGAUGAUUUUAUAUUACUAUCUGGGUUUAAUACUAAACUGGACUAGAACUAUGGCCAGUUUGCAGUUCAACCAAUCAAACUGGUCGGUUCAGUUCGAGUCUAAAAACACUACUCCGGAGAUGCAACAACCUAAACAUAGUGGUGAAGAUGGAGUUGAAGAGUUGGAUAAGGUGGAGACAUUUACUAGAGUUAAGAACCUUUCGAGUGUUGAACCAAUGGUGAUGGUGAAGUUGAAGUGAUGGAUAAGGUGGGGACAUUUGCUAGAGUUGAGAAGCUAUCGGAUGCUAGACCUAGUUGUAAAGGUGGAACAAAGAGGUUGGAUAGGGUGGAGACAUUUAGUAGAGUUGAGAAGUUUUUGGGUGUUGAACCUAACGGUGAUGGUGGAGUUGAAGAGUUAGAUAAAGUGGGGGCAUUUGCUAAGAAGUUGUUAGGUGCUGAAUGCAAUGGUGAAGGUGGAGCUAAUAAGUUGUCAGGUUUGAAAGAAAAGAAGUGAAGUUGUAUGAGGUUAUUACAUAUCAGUAAAAAAUUCCAAACACGCCCUUCCAAAGCAAGUUAAUAAUUUGAUAAAUGUAUGUUAAUGUGUUCUUUUUCAUCUUAUUAUUUUUCUUUUCUUUAUGUGGCAACAACCGGAACCAGAUUCUUUUCUUCCAAGAUCACAAAUAAGGUGGAAUAAUUUUCAAUUAGGAUUGGUAACUUAGAGGUGAAAAAGCCCAAAUUGAAAUCAUUGGCAUUUCUAAAAGAUGUGAAACAUGUUUCUUAUGUUUUCUUUUUUGAUUUUAAUAUAUACUAAUUCUUUUAUUGAACAGUGUUGUGUAAAGGUUUUGAAGCACUAGAAGUUGAUUUAAAAGUAGCUGUAGGCAUUCAUAUAAAAAAAAUCUUCCUGUAGGGCAUGUUGAAAUCUAGUGGUUUUAGUCAAUGAAAAUAUUUCAUUAUUUUUGUGAUUUUCUAUUUCAUUUUCCAUAGCUAUGUGAAGAAAGCAGAUGAAGAAGGGAUUUUUAAUUUAUGAAAGGACAUUUGGAGUAAGUUACAAAUAAUAAGGAAUUGAUCGAUGACACAAUUAAGCUUUUUAUUCUUUUGAAUAGUAAUAGCUCUUUUUUUUAUUGUUUGUCUUAAUAGCAUUUUACUGAAUAUGUUUAUUUGUUUUAUUACUUUAAAAUCAUGAUGCACUACUUUCAUUUGCUCCAAAAAGAAUAUCAGUAAUUUGGUUUCAUCUAUCUUGUGCUCUAGGUAAGUUCCAAUAUUAUUACUUAUUUUCUUGUGGUUAGUAAAAUUUCAUAUCUAAAUCUUGUUUGUCAUUCAGUUUAUUGUAGAAAUCUUGCGCGUUAAGUUAUCCAUCUACAAUACUCGAAACUCUAGAGACGGAUCAUUUACAAAACCUAUUGGCAUUCAUGAAAAUUACAAGAAAGGUAUACACAUUUUAUCACUCUCAUUGUUUUGUCAUCUAUAACAUUAGAAAUGCAACCAUUAUUUUAAAUUAUAAUUGUUAACAAUUGGAUACUUGUUCAAUUAAUAUUGUUUAUUGUAUAAUAUUGCAGAUUUUUUCCUUAUAACUUAUCAAGAAUAUUGGUUUCUCAUGAUUGCUCAUGUUAAGGAAAAAAGAAGUCUAUAUAGUUGAUUUUAUAGAUCAUGAGAAGUCAUACUACGAGAGUGUAAUGCAAUCUUUGAUACGUACAAGAGAAAUUGAAGUUUAUAUUAACAUGAGAGAAUGUAGUAUGACCAUUGCAUUGUCUUUCUAUGUCAAAUGUUUUCAGUUCGCCAUUGUGGAUGUUUGAAAUUUUAUAUGAAAUUUCAAAUUUUCAUAUGUGGUUGGAUUUGUGGGGUUUCAUUGAUCAUUUUGGAGUUAGAUGACUAUACUAAUAAUGGGUAUGCUAUAAAGAUUGAAAUUCUUGCACGAAUAUUGUGAUUUUUUAAGAAAUAUAUUACUGAUCUAGUGGGUGUUAAUUUAUAAAAACUAAGUGUGUGCAUACAGUUCUGUAUUUGUUUUGAAAAAAAUUUUCCUCUAAACAAUCUGUUGAUAGAUUGUAAUGAAAUUAGUCUGAUUUUUUAAGUCAAUGGGACAUUUUUCAAAUUGAAAGGCAUAACUAGCCAUUCAUACUAUCAUGUGGGACAAAAAAAUAGUUAAUGAUAUACUAUCUUUAUGCAUUCGUAUUUGCCAAAAUUCACUUUUACAGUCAAAUUUAUAGAAUAUCUUCUUUUUUCUAGUAGUAUUAAUCAAACCUUUUUUAUGAGGCAGAGACUAUCCAUCAAAAUAGUAUUAUCUUUAACUUCUUAUAAUUAAGAAUCAUUCGUGGUUUUCCUCUUACAAUUUCAGCGUAAUUUCUGACUAUAAAGGCAAGAGAGAAAUGAGAUGAGUUACCGUUUUGUAUUAUUUUUAAAUUUACUUAUCCAUCAAGUUAUUUUUUAAAUUCUUCUUUUGAUAAAAAAUACUGUAUCUCUUAGCUGCUACUUUUAUAAAUUUAUUUGUAUCUUUUAAUUCUAACUUAACUUCUUUCUUAAUUUUUUUUCCAAAAUUCUAGUGGAUUUUCAUAACAACAAAGGACACCAAAAUUUUAAUUUUUAUUUCAUUUUUGCUUUUAUUUCUUAAUAUUUUGUUAAAAUAUUUAGUUGCUUGUUAAUUAUUUAUUUUCAUAUAUGCUAAUAUGAAUUUUCUUAUUUUGCUUCUUUUGAAAAUUAAAAAAAUAGAAAAAUCUCAACAAAAUUUUAUCAAAUUCACACCAAUCAUUUUUUUCCUUUCCACCAACUAAUAUAGUAUUAGCUCUAUACUAAAUUCCACCUUCCACAUUUUUUUUGUUAACUUUUUCUUGACAAAAAAAAAAAUUAUCACCAGCACAAUCAUCACACUCUCUAAACUCUCACAAACACACUACUCAAAUACAACUCUACACACACAGUUGAAUUCCUUCUUAAGCUCUCAACCCUCUCAGUUCUCACUCUACACACAUCAACACCUUUUACCCCAACUCUUUUAGCUCACAUAAAAAAGAAGAAGAGGGAACUAAGGUGCAAAAGGUUGCUGCUGCUACUAGAGCCAUACUUACCACCAUCAUCUGUUAGAGCCCGACAAUUAUUUUUAUCGUCUAUAAUUUCAUCUAAUAUUCGAACGUGUUGCAAUUUGCAUGAUAUUAUUUACUUUUCAUGUUUGCUCGUUUCAUGUGAUUAGAUGACUUGAAUGCACCCACAAUUAGUGUAAGAUAUCUUGCUCAACCACAAAACAUUUCGACUAAAAAUUUUCCUUAGUCUAGCUCCUUGCCUUCAUUUUUUACCAAGAGAAAAAUUAUCCAAAAUAGCAUGCAAAAGUUGACCAAGUCCUUCUUGUUUCUUCCUUUUAACUUAACCGAGAGAUAGAGGAAAAUUAGCCAAAGUUUACUCUUGUUUUCCUCCAAUUUGGCAGAGAGAUGAGAGAGCAUGAAAUUGAGACCAACCACCAAUUUUGACUAAACCCUCUUGACCAAGUCUUCACCCUUACUAGCCUUUUCUCUUCUUGCAUGACCGAACCCUUACUUCUCUUUUCGUUGGAGCUGAGAGUUAAGCUGAAGGAAGUUCCCUUGUCUUGCUUCAUCAUCCAACCGAGAGAAAAACAUGAGAAAAAAAGAAACGAAAGCUCCUAUUUCUACUUUAGCCAAGAGAGAAACCAGAGUUCUUGCUCCAUUUCCAGCCAAAAGGAACCAAGAAUUCUAGUUCCAUUCCUAGCCAGGAGAAGGUAGAACGGUAAACUUAUUUCCAACUUGAGUUUGGGAAGAAAAAACCAGGUAAUAUAACUAGAAACCAUUGCCUUUUAUAUAUAUUUUAGAGGAAUUCUGAUGCAUGUAAAAUUUGAGGCUAGAUUGAAGUAAAACCAGGUUGUAGAACUUGUUUUCUUGCUGGAAAUUUUCCAACUAGGACCGAUGUAGUGUAUAGGUAGUUUCUUUUCAAUUUUCUUGCUUGAUCAAGAAUAAAUAUACUUGAACUCACGGAAUAUGUUUCGUAUACUUAUUAUUUGGCCAGAAAAUCCGAUCUUAUGGCUAGAAUUUUGAAUGAAAGUUGUAUGACUGCUAAACUACUUUUCCAGCUUAGCCAAUGGAAUGUUUUGGAAGUUGUAUGGAUAUUUUGGUAUGAAAUUUGCUGGAAAGUGCUUGAUCUCACUUGCCUGUGUGUUAUGAGGUUGUUGAUAUGUGAUUUGUAGCUAGAAAUAAGACUUGAAAUGGUUAAAAUUGAAGGGAGCUGCUGCUGAAACUUUUGGAGGGAGCCGUGAGUGUGAGUUGUGGAAUUGUAGGUGUUAUUUGCAAAUUUUGGUUGAGAAAUGACUUAUUUCCACUUUGCAGGAUACAUAUUGUAUGUUUACCUUUGAAUCUAGAAGAAACUUGAUAACUUGGUUGGAGAAAAACUUGAAGAAUUUGUUGGAAAUCUGUUGAGAUGGCUGAGAGAGUGAAAGGUUGAAAUUUCGGAUGACAGUCACCCCUGGACAGGUUUAGUAAAAUGAUCAUAACUUAGUGUAGAAAAAUCGAAAUUGAGUGCCGUCAAUUGCGUUUGAAAUUAGACUCAUAGAUCUUUCCAACGGUAUAAAAUUGGAACUGUGGUUCAUUUUAUAUAUGCACCAAGAAAUCAGCAAAGUUUACCGAAAAUCCUGCCCUGCACAAGUAAAAACUAGAAUGUUGUAGUAGCUUGCGGCUCAAUUUGGACCAAUUUAUGAACUGAAUCUCUUUGACGUGUCUUCUAAGGAUUCUUAGUGCUUUGAGUCUAGUUUUUAAUGGGCCAAGUUUUAUGAUUUUUUGACAUUUAUAACUGUAGUUAUGAUUUUUUCAAAAAGAGUGAUUUUUGCUGGAAUUUUUCCAGCUCGGACCAAGAGAGAAAGAUGAUGAUUUUUUUUCAACUUUUCCAUAACUUUUGGCUGUAAAACUGUAUGCAUGCUAUUAAUCUUCCUAUAUAAUAUAAUAACAGAGACAUGUAUGUGGGUUUUAAGGAGAAACUUGAGUUUUAAGGCGGUGAUUCUUGUUGAAAUUUUUCUAACUCUGUCGAGAGAGUAAGGUGUGUAAAUGCAGCUCUCGUUUGCAAAUUUUUGGCCGAGACAUGUCUUAUUUCUAUUUGUAUGAUACUUAUGGUAUGUUCACUAUCGAAUAUAAUGGAAAUUUGAACUUUUAGUUUUUAAAAUGCAAAUUUUCUUGUUGAGUUUUAUUGGAAUACAUGAUUAGUACCACCCCUCUUGGUACAAGCUUAUUUUAUGUGAUUUAUGGUUGAAAUAAGAAUGAGAGGGGUUGUUUUGGUGACAAAAAUAAGGUGAGACUCGCUGAAAUUGGCUUGCUUAACCCGUGAACUACAUACUAGGUUUUUCAGCUUAUAACUUCCAUUUUGUUGGGUUUUUCAAAGAGACUCAUGCCUUGUAAUUACACUAUGAGGCAUUGCCUAAUUUAUACUUGAAUCAUGAACGAAAGUUGAGUUUGUGGUUAACCAUCCACUUACAUGUAAUCAGUUUCGGAGGGAAACUCCCAGCCACGAACCAUGGUUAAACUUCGACCUUACUUGUGACAAAUGGAUGCUAUUUUACUAAAAAUUUUCUACUUAAAUCGAGAACAUGUAGCUACCCUUUUCUUUCAGCUUUAACUCCAUUUUUAAUACUAAGAUGUUAGCUACAAACUCGUACCUUUUGACUCAUUAAACAUUUCAUGUGUUAAACAUAAACAUGUAUGAACGAAUUCACUGGUGUUUGGAGAAAACUAGAAGUCAUCUUGAUGACAAAUUUCUGUCAAAAGAAACCAAGAGUAAGGGGCAAGAUUUUCAACCUUAUAUUCAUGCCUUUUGGUUGCCAAAAACCCUAUACCUUUUUCAACUUACAUGUUUGAUAACUUUAAAACUAGUGUUUCUGUGUUUUUCACUUAUUUUGAUCGAGAUGAUAAGUGUAAUUAUAGCUUGGAUAUGUCUCAGGAGUCGAUGGUGAGCUAAGAAAACCCCGAAGUCGACAUUUGACUGUCCAUUUCAUUUGGUGAGUGUUCCAAACUGCAUGUCACAUGCUACUUCUUGCUUAAAUAUGACUUAUGCAUGACUUGUUGCUUGAAUUGACUUAUUAUUGUAUAGGUGAGUUUGUACUUUAUCGCACUCGAUCUAAUUUAACUAAACUCUUGAUGUACUGUUUUAAGUGAAUUGUUUAUAAAUGAACUGAUAUACAUAUGCAUGGCUUGAAAGUCAAUUGGAGAUGGUAUCUCAUCGACUAUACUGACUACUUGGGAACCCAAACCCCACUGGCUAGUUAAUCGAGUCGAGCCGGCAAGGGUUUGGUCACUUAGAUAACGAACCCUGGAUCUACUGUUUUGUCGAGUGGAGUGUUAUCUCCUCGACUAAUUGGUAUGCUCGAGCAUUACCACCACUUUUUUUGUUUGGAGUUCGGGCCCGGUAGGGGAUUGAUCGUGGAUGGAGGUUGGAGUUAAGUGAUGAUCUUCUGGACUUGUUAUGAUUCCAUGGUUGACGGAGUGUCAAGGGAUUUGAACAACUGGCACGGAACCUGCUUCCGAGAGCAUACUGUAUCCUUUUAUGUGCAUGUGUUAUCUGCUGUACGUGGUUAAUGAGUUGUUUGGAUGUUAUGUGUUUUAUGAAAAAUGUGAUCAUGCUAUCAUGUGAAUGUUAUAAUGCCUAAUUGCUUGUUGUUCUCUUGGAACCUCACUGAGAUUUUAGCUCAUCCCUUCAUUUGUUUUCCUUAACAGGGUACAGGGAUGACAGAGACAAGAAUAGUACUAGUUUGUAAUAGAAAAUCUUAAUGUUGUAUUUGGAUGACACUGUGUUAUGGUACUAGUUUACAAGUUCUUAUCUUUUGGUCCGUACUUUGGCUUGUAUAUUUAGAUGAUUGGUAGCAUGUAGAUGCUAUAUUGAAAAGUUUUAGCAUUAUUGAUUUGGUAUCCCAAGAAUAAUGAGUUCGAAAGUUGUAAUCUUUAUUUUAAAUAAUUGCAAUCCUAUUUAUACUUAGAGAAGUGAUUGAACUACUUGUAUUUCAUUUUGCCUAGUCGUAUACAUAAGUAUGGAGUUUUUUGUGAAGUUGGAUGCCUUGUAAUAUUUAAUGGGGAGUUUCGUACUUACCUUGGAGUUAAUGUUAUUUCUAAAAUUGAUGUUAGUGAAUGAAUCCCUACAAGAACUAAGCAGGCAGUCCGCUAACCUCUGGGGUUUGCCCUUGAGGGAAGUAGGGCCGUCACAGGUGGUAUCAGAGUUGCAUCGCGUGUCUCUGCGUGGGGUGAGUUUAGGCCAAGUGGUGUUAUGGUUCUGAUUUCAGAAUAAGUGUAAAGGACUAAGUGUUCUUUUUGAGUAUAAGUUGUGAAUCAUGAAUGUUAUAGGUGUCAAAUCUUUAUCAUGGUACUUGGGGACGAUAGCUAUGCAUGUCAGGUAUAAAUCUCAAAUGUAGAUGAUUUACUCUUGGGACUGGCCAACUCGAGUUGUGAACUAUUUAUUUUGGAUUCUUGUACUCGAGUACUAAAGAGAUGAGAACGUUAGGACGAGAGUCGAUAUCUCGAUUGAAUUUGAGGUAAGUUUGAUGGCAAAAGUCAAGGCACGGAAGAUGCUAAUAGUUUGGACCUGGGAAUGUAUUGAUGCUAUUGGUGAGGUUUAGGAUCCUUAUCAUUCAGUGUACAUAAUUAGCUGUACCUCUUUGAGUUUUGAUUAAGUGUAGUUCUUGAAGGAUUUCUUGGGUUAGUGUCCAAUUUAGUUAUUUUUUUAGUUGUGUAGUAGCUGAUAUACAAGAUACGAGGGCUUAAAGAUGAAGGGCCAAUGGUGUAUUUAGGUCAUGAUUACAGGAACCGCUUUUGGAUCGGAAAGAGUAGAUUGGCAAAUUACUAUGUGAUCUUUGCUACCUUGGAUUGGCUUUACUAAGGAUAUAUUUGAAUUUGUCCAUACAUUUGAAGAGUUUUGUACCUCGACUAAGUUUAGACGUUGAUGAUAUAUGAUUUAUGAGAGAAAUGAUGAAUAUUAGGUGUUGCUUACUGAAUUUUUGGUUAGUAGAUAGUAGCCUAGUAAGGGGAAAUGUAUAUAUUGCUAGAGCAUGGGUUGACGCUAGGUGAUGAAUCGAGUGGCAUUUUUUUAUGGCAUAGGUUGUACAACACAGAUAGGAUACACUCGAGCACAUGAGAUGACUAGAUGCGAGCAAUGUUAAUUUGGUGGUAACUCUUAGUUUGAUCUGACUUGUGUCCUAAUGAAGACUAGUUUUCAUGAAUAAAUUGGUGCCCUUGCUCUGAAAGGAAAAGAACUUAGAGAUUACCUGGCUUGAAAGGAGAAUAUAUUGUUAGAGUUGUAAUUUGUGGUUUGAUGGUAAUUUAGAUGGUUAAGUGAAUCGAUGAAAUGAAGAAUUUGGAAGGUAUACAUGAAAAAACAGAGAUUCUUCGGAGGGAAGUAGAGCUCCAAAAGAAAUCAGUUGAAAAGAACUUAGAGAUUACCUGGCUUGAAAACAUAAUAUAUGGUUAGAGUUGUAAUUUGCGGUUUGAUGGUCAUUUAGAUGGUUAAGUGAAUCGAUGAAAUGAAGAAUUUGGAAGGUAUACAUGAAAAAACAGAGAUUCUUCGGAGGGAAGUAGAGUUCCAAAAGAAAUCUGUUGAAACACGAAGAUGUGGAGAUAACUGAACAAGUACGUAAAAAUAAAAAGAGAAGAUGAAGAGAUAUUGACGGAUUGUAAUAGUAGUUUGAAAGGGUGCACAUAACUAAGACCCUCUUGGCAAGAAAGUCUAACGUGGUGAAAGAAGUUUUAUUAUACUAAAAGGAAAUAUAAAGAGACGGGUGAAGUCAAAUUGAUGAUUAAGAAGGAAGAAAAGAAAGAAAAAAUUUGUAUCUUUUACGUUUAAAUGCGGUAACUAAGACUGGAACGUGUUAGCGCAUAAUUGGUGUAUGUAUAGAAGUAGCAGGCUUGAACGCCAAGUGAGGAACUAUCCAAAAAAUUAAUUACGCUAUGGGGAUUCUACUAUAUUAGCUGAAGUGAACAACUAGCUGUGUCCUUGAAGGUCCAUUAUGAAUGCUUUAUGUAGUAAGAUAUAACUAAUUGAUGAACACGAGACUUGGUACUUGAUGUUUUUCUCUAGUGAUAGUCAAUGUUUGUCUUUGAUUGGAGUUUCAUCUUGAUAUCUGAUUAUGUGUGUUGUGCAUUACUAUUCUUGAGUUUAAAUGAGAAUUCUUUCUUUGUGGGCCGUAAUGAAGGAAUUUCAAUUAGAAAGGGGUAGUACACAUACAGGGAUUUAAUUGUAGAUAUGAUCAGAAAUUUACAUAACGGACUAGUUGCCAGUGCAUAGUGUAUGAAUCCAACAUUUAGUAAAUGUAGCAAACAAGUUUCGUAGUUAUGGUUCCUUUUCAUCGAGUUCUAAGUUUAUAUCCUCGUAAAUAUUCUAAGCCAUCUUUGACCUCCCUUAGAGUAAUAGUUUAGCCGUUAUGUUCAUACGACUAUCCCUCAAGUAAACUUUAGCAGAAGCAUCUAGGGUGGUAGGAAGCUACUUGGGAGUCAAGGAAAAGCUUUGUCUUAUAAGUACAAGUUAGAAUUUCGAGAACGAAAUUCUUUUAAGGGGGAGAGAGUGUGAGAGGCCGACAAUUAUUUUAUCAUCUAUAAUUUCAUCUAAUAUUCGAAUGUGUUGCAAUUUGCAUGAUAUUAGGUUUAUUUUGGAUACACAUAUUAUUCCAAAUAAUAUUUUACUUGCAUCAUAAACAAAUUUUCCAACUCACCUUUUAUAUUCCCAACCAACUUCUUAUCUCACAUGCAUCAGAUCACAAAAAAGUGCUACAGUAAUUAUUCCAAAUAAUAUUUCAAAUAACACUCUAUCCAAACAAAGCCAUUAUUUACUUUCCAUGUUUGCUCAUUUCAUGUGAUUAGACGACUUGAAUGCACCCACAAUUAGUGUAACAUAUCUUGCUCAACCACAAAACAUUUUGACUACAAAUUUUCUUUAGUCUAGCUCCUUGCCUUCAUUUUUUACCAAGAGAAAAAUUAUCCAACGUAGCAUGCAAAAGUUGACCAAGUUCUUCUUGUUUCUUCCUUUUAGCUUAACCGAGAGAUAGAGGAAAAUUAGCCAAAGCUUUCUCUUGUUUUCCUCCAAUUCAGCCGAGAGAUGAGAGAGCAUGAAAUUGAGACCAGCCACCAAUUUUGACUAAACUCUCUUGACCAAAUCUUCACCCUUACUAGCCUUUUCUCUUCUUGCAUGACUGAACCCUUACUUCUCUUCUUGUUAGAGUCGAGAGCUAGAGGGAAAGCUGAAGGAAGUUCCCUUGUCUUGCUUCAUCAUUCAACCGAGAGAAAAACUUGAGAAAGAGAGAAACCAAAGCUCCUAUUUCUACUUCAUCCAAGAGAAAAACCAGAGUUCUUGCUCCAUUUCCAGCCAAAAGAAACCAAAAAUUCUAGUUCCAUUCCCAGCCAGGAGAAGGUAGAAGGGUAAACUGAUUUCCAGCUUGAGUUUAGGUAGAAAAAAUCAAGUAAUAUAGCUAGAAACCAUCGUUUUUUCUAUAUAUUUUAGAGGAAUUCUGAUGCAUGUAAAAUUUGAGGCUAGAUUGAAGUAAAACUAGGUUGUAGAACUUGUUUUCUUGCUGGAAAUUUGCCAACUAGGACCGAUGUAGUGUAAAGGUAGUUUCUUUUCAAUUUUCUUACUUGAUCAAGAAUAAAUAUACUUGAACUCACGGAACAUGUUUAGUAUAAUUAUUAGUUGGCCAGAAAAUCCAAUCUUAUGGAUAGAAUUUUGAAUGGAAGUUGUAUGACUGCUAAACUACUUUUCCAGCUUAGCCGAUGGAAUGUUUUGGAAGUUGUAUGGAUAUUUUGGUAUGAAAUUUGCUGGAAAGUGCUUGAUUCUCACUUGCCUGUGUGUUAUGAGGUUGUUGAUAUGUGAUUUGUGGCUAGAAAUAAGACUUGAAAUGGUUAAAAUUGAAGGGAGUUGCUGCUGAAACUUUUGGAGGGAGCUGUGAGUGUGAGCUGUGGAAUUGCAGGUGUUAUUUGCAAAUUUUGGUUGAGAAAUGACUUAUUUCCACUUUGCAGGAUACAUAUUGUAUGUUUACCUUUGAAUCUAGAGGAAACUUGAUAAUUUGGUUGGAGGAAAACUUGAAGAAUUUGUUGGAAAUCUGUUGAGAUGGCUGAGAGAGUGAAAGGUUGAAAUUUCGGAUGACAGUCACCCCUGGACAGGUUUAGUAAAAUGAUCAUAACUUAGUGUAGAAAAAUCAAAAUUGAGUGCCGUGAAUUGAAUUUGAAAUUAGACUCAUAGAUCUUUCCAACGGUAUAAAAUUGGAUCUGUGGUUCAUUUUAUAUAUGCACCCAAAAAUCAGCAAAGUUGACCGAAAAUCCUGCCCUGCACAAGUAAAAACCAGAAUGUUGUAGUAGUUUGUGGCUCAAUUUGGACCAAUUUAUGAACUGAAUCUCUUUGAGGUGUCUUCUAAGGAUUGUUAGUGCUUUAAGUCUAUUUUUCAAUGGGCAAAGUUUUAUGAUUUUUUGACAUUUAUAACCAAAGUUAUGAUUUUUUCAAAAAGAGUGAUGUUUGCUGGAAUUUUUCCAACUUGGACCAGGAGAGAAAGAUGAUGAUUUUUUUUCAACUUUUCCAUAACUUUUGGCUGCAAAACUUUGUGCAUGCUGUUAAUCUUCCUUUAUAAUACAAUAAUAGUGACAUGUAUGUGGGUUCUAAGGAGAAACUUGAGUUUUAAGGCGGUUAUUCUUGUUAAAAUUUUUCUAACUCUGUCGAGAGGGUAAGGUGUGUAAAUGCAGCUCUUGUUUGCAAAUUUUUGGAUUGAGACAUGUCUUAUUUCUAUUUGUAUGAUACUUAUGGUAUGUUCACUAUUGAAUAUAAUGGAAAUUUGAACUUUUAGUUUUUAAAAUGCAAAUUUUCUUGUUGAGUUUUAUUGGAAUACAUGAUUAGUACCACCUCUCUUGGUACAAGCCUAUUUUAUGUGAUUUAUGGUUGAAAUAAAUAUGAGAGGGGCUGUUUUGGUGACAAAAAUGAGGUGAGACUCACUGAAAUUGGCUUGCUUAACCCGUGAACUAUAUACUAGGUUUUCCAGCUUAUAACUUCCAUUUUGUUGCGAUUUUUCAAAGAGACAAAUGCCUUGUAAUUACACUAUGAGACAUUGCCUGAUUUAUACUUGAAUCAUGAAUGAAAGUUGAGUUUGUGAUUAACCAUCCACUUACAUGUAACUUGUUUUGGAGGGAAACUCCCAGCCAUGAACCAUGGUUAAACUUCGACCUUACUUGUGACAAAUGGAAGCUAUUUUACUAAAAAUUUUCUACUUAAAUCGAGAACAUGUAGCUACCCUUUUCUUUCAGCUUUAACUCCAUUUUUAAUACUAAGAUGUUAGCUGCAAACUCGUACUUUUUGACUCAUUAAACAUUUCAUGUGUUAAACAUAUGUAUGAAUGAAUUCACUAGUGUUUGGAGAAAAUUAGAAGUCAUCUUGAUGACAAAUUUCUGUCAAAAGAAACCAAGAGUAAGGACAAGAUUUCCAACCUUAUAUUCAUGCCUUGGUUGCAAAACCCUAUACCUUUGUCAACAUACAUGUUUGAUAACUUUAAAACUAGUGUUUCUGUAUUUUUCACUUAUUUUGAUCGAGAUGAUAUGUGUAAUUAUAGCUUGGAUAUGUCUCAAGAGUCAAUGGUGAGCUAAGAAAAUCCCGAAACCGAGAUUUGACUGUCCAUUUAAUUUGGUGAGUGUUCCAACUGCAUGUCCUAUGCUACUUCUUGCUCAAAUAUGACUUAUGCAUGACUUGUUACUUGAAUUGACUUAUUAUUGUAUAGGUGAGUGUAUUUUAUCGCACUCGACGUAAUUUAACUGACCUCUUGAUGUACUGUUUAUAAGUGAACUGAUAUACAUGUGUAUGGUUUGAAAGUCGAUUAAAAAUGUUAUCUCAUCGACUAUACUGACUGCUUGGGAACCCAAACCCCACUGGCUAGUUAAUCGAGUCGAGCCGACAAGAGUCUGGUCGAUUAGAUAACGAACCAUGGGUCUACUGUUUUGUCGAGUUGAAUGUUAUCUCUUCGAUUAAUUGGUAUGUUCGAGCAUUACCACCACUGUUUCUGUUUGGAGUUUGGGCCCAGUAGGGGUUGAUCGGUGGAUGGAGGUUGGAGUUAAGUGUGUGAUCUACUGGACUUGUUAUGAUUCCAUGGUUGACGAAGUGUCAACGGAUUCUGAACAAGUGGCCACGGACCCUACUCCCGAGAACAGACUGUAUCCUUUUAUGUGCAUUUGUUAUCGGCUGUACAUGGUUAAAUGAGUUGUCUGGAUGUUAUGUGUUUUAUGAAAAAUGUGAUCAUGCUAUCAUGUGAAUGUUAUAAUGCCUAAUUGCUUGUUGUUCUCUUGGAAUCUCACUGAGUUUUUAGCUCAUCCCUUCAUUUGUUUUCCUUAACAGGGUGCGGGGAUGACAGCGACAAGAAUAGUACUAGUUUGUAAUAGAAAAUCUUAAUGUUGUAUUUGGACGGCACUGUGUUAUGGUACUAGUUUACAAGUUCUUAUCUUUUAAUCUGUACUUUGGCUUUGAUAUUCAGAUGAUUGUAUAUCAUGUAGAUGUUAUAUUGAAAAGUUUUAGCAUUAUUGAUUUGAUAUCCCAAGAAUAAUGAGUUUGAAAGUUGUAAUCUUUAUUUUAAGUAAUCCUAUUUAUACUUAGAGAAGUGAUCGAACUACUUGUAUUUUAUUUCGCCUAGUCGUAUACAUAAGUAUGGAGUUUUUUGUGAAGUUGGAUGGCUUGUAAUAUUUAUUGGGGAGUUUCAUGCUUACCUUGGAGUUAAUGUUAUCUCUAAAAUUAAUGUUAGUGAGUGAGUCCUAACGAUAGUUAAGCAGGCGGUCCGCUAAUCUCUGGGGUUCGCCCUUGAGGGAAGUGAGGUCGUCACAGGUGGUAUCAGAGCUGUCUCGCGUGGUCUCUGCGUGGGGUGAGUUUAGGUCAAAUGGUGUUAUGGUUCUGAUUUCGUGAAUAAGUGUAAAGAACUAAGUGUUCUUUUUGAGUAUAAGUUGUGAAUCAUGAAUGUUAUAGGGUCAAAUCUUUAUCAUGGUACUGUGGGGACGAUAGCUAUGCAUGUCAGGUAGGAAUCUUAAAUGUAGAUGAUUUACUCUUUGGGACUGGCCAACUCGAGUUGUAAAUUAUCUUAUUUUGAAUUCUUGUACUCGAGUACUAAAGAGAUGAGAACGUUAGGACGAGAGUCGAUAUCUCGAUUGAAUUUGAGGUAAGUUUGAUGGCAAAAGUCAAGGCACGGAGGAUGUUAAUAGUUUGGACCUGGGAAUGUAUUGAUGCUGGUAGUGAGGUUUAGGAUCCUUAUCAUUCAGUGUACAUAAUUAGCAGUACCUCUUUGAGUUUUGAUUAAGUGUAGUUUUUGAAGGAUUUCUUGGGUUUGUGUCCAAUCUGGUUAUUUUCUUAGUUGUGUUAAGUAAUUAUAGUAGCCGAUAUACGAGAUACGAGGGUUCAAAAAUGAAGGGCCAAUGGUGUAUUUAGGUCAUGAUUACAAGAAUUGCUUUUGGAUCGGAAAGAGUAGAUUGGCAAAUUAUUACUUGAUGUUUGCUACCUUGAAUUGGCUUUACUAAGGAUAUAUUUGAAUUUGUCCAUACAUUUGUAGAGUUUUGUACCUUGACUAAGUUUAGAGGUUGAUGAUAUAUGAUUUAUGAGAGAAAGGAUGAAUAUUAGGUGUCACUUACUGGAUUUUUGGUUAGUAGAUAGUAGCCUAGCGAGGGGAAAUAUAUAUAUUGCUAGAGCAUGGGUUGACGCUAGAUGAUGAAUCGAGUGGCAUAUUUUUAUGGUUUAGGUUGUACAACACAGAUAAGAUACACUCAAGCACAUGAGAUGACUAGAUACGAGCAAUAUUAAUUUGGUGGUAACUCUUAGUUUGAUCUGACUUGUGUCCUAGUGAAGACUAGUUUUCAUGAAUAAAUUGGUGCCUUGCACCGAAAGUAAAAGAAAUUAGAGAUUACCUGGCUUGAAAGGAGAAUAUAUGGUUAGAGUUGUAAUUUGUGGUUUGAUGGUCAUUUAGAUGGUUAAGUGAAUCGAUGAAAUGAAAAAAUUUGGAAGGUAUACAUGAAAAAACAGAGAUUUUUCGGAGGGAGGUAGAGCUCCAAAAGAUAUCAGUUGAAACACGAAAAUGUGGAGAUAACUGAACAAGUACGUGAAAUUAAAAAGAGAAGAUGAAGAGAUAUUACCGGGGGUUGUAAUAGUAGUUUGAAAGGGUGCACUUAAAUAAGACCCUCUUGGCAAGAAAGUCUAACGUGGCGAAAGAAGUUUUAUUAUACUAAAAGGAAACAUAAAGAGAUGGGUGAAGUCAAAUUGAUAAUUAAGAAGGAAGAAAAGAAAUAAGGGAUUUGUGUCUUCAACGUUUAAAUGUUGUAACUAAGACUGGAACGUGGUAGCGGAUAAUUGGUGUAUGUAUAGAAGUAGCAAGCUUGAACGCCAAGUGAGGAACUAUCCAAAGAAAUUAAUUAGGCUAUGGUGAUUCUACUAUAUUAGCUGAAGUGAACAACUAGCUGUGUCCUUAAAGGUGCAUUCUGAAUGCUUUACGUAGUAAGAUGUAUCUACUUGAUGAACACGGGACUUGGUAUUUGAUGUUUUUCCCUAGUGAUAGUCAAUGUUUGUCUUUGAUUGGAGUUACAUCCUGAUAUCUGAUUAUGUGUGUCGUGUAUUACUGUUCUUGAGUUUAAGUGAGGAUUCUUUCUUUGUGAGCCGUAAUGAAGGAAUUUCAAUUAGAAAGGGGUAGUACACAUACAGGGAUUUAAUUGUAGACAUGAUCAGAAAUUUACAUAACGGACUAGUUGCCAGUGCAUAGUGUAUGAAUCCAACAUUUAGUAAACGUAGCAAACAAGUUUCGUAGUUAUGGUUCCUUUUCAUCGAGUUCUAAGUUUAUAUCUUCGUAAAUAUUCUAAACCAUCUUUGACCUCCCUUAGAGCAAUAGUUUAGCCGUUAUGUUCAUAUGACUAUCCCUCAAGUAAACUUUAGCAGAAGCAUCUAGGGUGGUAGGAAGCUACAUGGGAGUCGAGGAAAAGCUUUGUCUUAUAAGUACAAGUUAGAAUUUUGAGGACGAAAUUCUUUUAAGGGGAAGAGAGUGUGAGAGUCCGACAAUUAUUUUAAUCAUCUAUAAUUUCAUCUAAUAUUCGAACAUGUUGCAAUUUGCAUGAUAUUAUUUACUUUCCAUGUUUCUUCGUUUCAUGUGAUUAGACGACUUGAAUGCACCCACAAUUAGUGUAAGAUAUCUUGCUCAACUACAAAACAUUUUGACUAAAAAUUUUCUUUAGUCUAGCUCCUUUCCUUCAUUUUUUACCAUGAGAAAAAUUAUCCAAAAUAGCAUGCAAAAGUUGAUCAAGUCUUUCUUGUUUCUUCUUUUUAGCUUAACCGAGAGAUAGAGAAAAAUUAGUCAAGGCUUUCUCUUGUUUUCCUCCAAUUUGGCAGAGAGAUGAGAGAGCAUGAAAUUGAGACCAAUCACCAAUUUUGACUAAACCCUCUUGACCAAGUCUUCACCCUUACUAGCCUUUUCUCUUCUUGCAUGACCGAACCCUUACUUCUCUUCUUGUUGGAGCUGAGAGCUAGAGGAAAAGCUGAAGAAAGUUCCCUUGUCUUGCUUCAUCAUCCAACCGAGAGAAAAACUUGAGAAAGAGAGAAACCAAAGCUCCUAUUUCUACUUCAACCAAGAGAAAAACCAGAGUUCUUGCUCCAUUUCCAACCAAAAGGAACCAGAAAUUCUAGUUCCAUUCCUAGCCAGGAGAAGGUAGAAGGGUAAACUGAUUUCCAGCUUGAGUUUGGGUAGAAAAAACCAGGUAAUAUAGCUAGAAACCAUCGCCUUUUAUAUAUAUUUUAGAGGAAUUCUGAUGCAUGUAAAAUUUGAGGCUAGAUUGAAGUAAAACUAGGUUGUAGAACUUGUUUUCUUGCUGGAAAUUUUCCAACUAGGACCGAUGUAGUGUAAAGGUAGUUUCUUUUCAAUUUUCUUACUUGAUCAAGAAUAAAUAUACUUGAACUCACGGAACAUGUUUAGUAUACUUAUUAGUUGGCUAGAAAAUCCAAUCUUAUGGAUAGAAUUUUGAAUGGAAGUUGUAUGACUGCUAAACUACUUUUCCAGCUUAGCCGAUGGAAUGUUUUGGAAGUUGUAUGGAUAUUUUGGUAUGAAAUUUGCUGGAAAGUGCUUGAUUCUCACUUGCCUGUGUGUUAUGUGGUUGUUGAUGUGUGAUUUGUGGCUAGAAAUAAGACUUGAAAUGGUUAAAAUUGAAGGGAGUUGUUGCUGAAACUUUUGGAGGGAGCCGUGAGUGUGAGCUGUGGAAUUGCAGGUGUUAUUUACAAAUUUUGGUUGAGAAAUGACUUAUUUCCACUUUGCAGGAUACAUAUUGUAUGUUUACCUUUGAAUCUAGAGGAAACUUGAUAACUUGGUUGGAGGAAAACUUGAAGAAUUUGUUGGAAAUCUGUUGAGAUGACUGAGAGAGUGAAAGGUUAAAAUUUCGGAUAACAGUCACCCCUGGACAAGUUUAGUAAAAUGAUCAUAACUUAAUGUAAAAAAAUUGAAAUUGAGUGCCGUCAAUUGCGUUUGAAACUAGACUCAUAGAUCUUUCCAACGGUAUAAAAUGGAGCUAUGGUUCAUUUUAUAUAUGCACCAGAAAAUCAGCAAAGUUGACCGAAAAUCCUGCCCUGCACAAGUAAAAACCAAAAUGUUGUAGUAGAUUGCUGCUCAAUUUGGACCAAUUUAUGAACUGAAUCUCUUUGAGGUGUCUUGUAAGGAUUGUUAGUUCUUUGAGUCUAUUUUUCAAUGGGCCAAGUUUUAUGAUUUUUUGAUAUUUAUAACUCAAGUUAUGAUUUUUUCAAAAAGAGUGAUGCUUGCUGGAAUUUUUCCAGCUUGGACCAAGAGAGACAGAUGAUGAGUUUUUUUCAACUUUUCCAUAACUUUUGGCUGUAAAACUUUAUGCAUGCUGUUAAUCUUCCUUUAUAAUAUAAUAACAUUGACAUGCUUGUGGGUUCUAAGGAGAAACUUUAGUUUUAAGGCGGUGAUUUUUGUUGGAAUUUUUCUAGCUCUGUCGAGAGAGUAAGGUGUGUAAAUGCAGCUCUUAUUUGCAAAUUUUUGGCCGAGACAUGUCUUAUUUCUAUUUGUAUGAUACUUAUGGUAUGUUCACUAUUGAAUAUAAUGGAAACUUGAACUUUUAGUUUUUAAAAUGUGCAAAUUUUCUUGUUGAGUUUUAUUGGAAUACAUGAUUAGUACCACCUCUCUUGGUACAAGCCUAUUUUAUGUGAUUUAUGGUUGAAAUAAAUAUGAGAGGGGUUCUUUAGAUGACAAAAAUGAGCUGAGAUUCGCUGAAAUUGGCUUGCUUAACCCAUGAACUACAUACUAGGUUUUCCAGCUUAUAACUUCCAUUUUGUUGCGAUUUUUCAAAGAGACACAUGCCUUGUAAUUACACUACGAGGCAUUGCCUGAUUUAUACUUGAAUCAUGAACGAAAGUUGAGGUUGUGGUUAACCAUCCACUUACAUGUAACCUGUUUUGGAGCGAAACUCCCAGCCAUGAACCAUGGUUAAACUUCGACCUUGCUUGUGACAAAUUAAUGCUAUUUCACUAGCAAUUUUCUGCUUAAACCGAGAACAUGUAGCUACCCUUUUCUUUGAGCUUUAAUUCCAUUUUUAAUACUAAGAUGUUAGCUGCAAACUCGUACCUUUUGACUUUUGACUCAUUAAACAUUUCAUGUGUUAAACAUAACAUGUAUGAACAAAUUCACUGGUGUUUAGAGAAAAUUAGAAGUCAUCUUGAUGACAAAUUUCUGUCAAAAGAAACCAAGAAAAAGGGCAAGAUUUUCAACCUUAUAUUCAUGCCUUUGGUUGCAAAACCCUAUACCUUUUUCAACCUACAUUUUUGAUAAACUAGUGUUUCUGUGUUUUUCACUUGUUUUGAUCGAGAUGAUAAGUGUAAUUAUAGCUUGGAUAUGUCUUAGGAGUCAGUGGUGAGCUAAGAAAACCCCGACUGUCCAUUUGAUUUGGUGAGUGUUCCAACUGCAUGUCCAAUGCUACUUCUUGAACAAAUAUGACUUAUGCAUGACUUGUCGCUUGAAUUGACUUAUUAUUAUAUAGGUGAGUGUGUACUUUAUCGCACUCGAUCUAAUUUAACUGAACUCUUGAUGUACUGUUUAUAAGUGAAUUGUUUAUAAGUGAAUUGAUAUACAUGUGCAUGGCUUGAAAGUCAAUUGGAGAUGGUAUCUAAUCGACUAUACUGACUGCUUGGGAACCCAAACCCCACUGACUAGUUAAUCGAGUCGAGCCGGCAAGGGGCUGGUCGAUUAGAUAACGAACCCUGGGUCUACUGUUUUAUCGAGUGGAGUGUUAUCUUCUCGACUAAUUGGUAUACUCGAGCAUUACCACCACUUUUUUUGUUUGGAGUUCGGGCCCGGUAGGGGGUUGAUCGGUGGAUGGAGAUUGGAGUUAAGUGGUGAUCUACUGGACUUGUUAUGAUUCCAUGGUUGACGGAGUGUCAAUGGAUUCUGAACAAGUGGCCACGGAACCUGCUCUCGAGAGCAGACUGUAUCCUUUUAUGUGCAUGUGUUAUCAGCUGUAUGUAGUUAAAUGAGUUGUCCGGAUGUUAUGUGCUUUAUGGAAAAUGUGAUCAUGCUAUCAUGUGAAUGUUAUAAUACCUAAUUGCUUUUUGUUCUCUUGGAACCUCACUAAGUUUUUAGCUCAUCCCUUCAUUUGUUUUCCUUAACAGGGUGCGGGAUGACAGAGACAAGAAUAGUACUAGUUUGUAAUAGAAAAUCUUAAUGUUGUAUUUGGACGGCACUGUGUUAUGGUACUAGUUUACAAGUUCUUAUCUUUUGAUCUGUACUUUGGCUUGUAUAUUCAGAUGAUUGGUAGCAUGUAGAUGUUAUAUUGAAAAGUUUUAGCAUUAUUGAUUUGGUAUCCAAGAAUAAUGAGUUCGAAAGUUGUAGUCUUUAUUUUAAGUAAUUGCAAUCCUAUUUAUACUUAGAGAAGUGAUUGAACUACUUGUAUUUCAUUUCGCCUAGUCGUAUACAUAAGUAUGGCAUUUUUUGUGAAGUUGGAUGGCUUGUAAUAUUUAUUGAGGAGUUUCGUGCUUACCUUGGAAUUAAUAUUAUCUCUAAAAUUAAUAUUAGUGAGUGAGUCCUGACGAGAAUUAGGCAGGCAGUCCGCUAACCUCUGGGGUUCGCUCUUGAGGGAAGUGGGGUUGUCACAUCAUCGCUGGAAACCAUUGUCAUCAUCAUCAUUGGUCAAUUUCUUCGGUACAAAACAAGGUAACAAUUCCUCAUUCCUUUUUCUCUUGCUUUUCCCAAUUUUGAUUUAGCAACUAGUGUUGGAGUUUUUCUUGAAUAUUUUUGCCUUCUUAUUUUCUUGCUUGUGGUUUAAGUGAAGGAUUAUGGUGAUUAUUGAUAAAAUUUUUUGAGUAUGAAUCUGCUCCAAUUUGAUGAGAUGUGUGAGCCUAAAUCAUGCAUAUCAUGUAUUCAAAAAAUAUUUAAAUGAAAAACUGAAUUGAAGUGGUAAAUUUCAGGUAUAUAUACGAUAAAAAAUAGAUGAUACUGUGUAGUUCAUGGUUUGGAAAUGUUAUCAAAAUUUUUGAAUUUUUUUAACGAUAAAAAACAGGGAAUUGAGUUUUAUCAAUUGGGGUUAUUUUUGCUUUAAUUAAUCUUUUUGUUUGCUGUUUCUUAUCAAAAUAAGGCCAUGCAUUUUAGAAUCCAUAAGGGUUGUUUUGGUUUAGAUUUUGUGAAUUUUAGUGAGAAUUUGAAUGAGUUUAGAAAAAAAAACCUGACUAUAAAUUUGCAUUUUAACCAUUUUUUGUCCAUUUUUUUUUGUUGAAAAUAAACCUAGAAGUGGAUUCCACAUGAAAAAUCAAGUGGAGAGACGUAUUUUGGUAAAUUUUAGUAAUUGAAAAAAUCGCAAGCGACCUGCGGCUGACGGUGGCCAGUGGCAAUUCUGUAAUGGCAGAUAUGAUUGCCAGCGAGAAGCUGGAGAUGCUGGGGGAGGAAGAAAAGGAAGACGGAGAAGAAAAUGAAAAAAAAAGAAAAUGAAGAAAAAAAGUGGACGGGCUUUCUUUUAUUUUGUCUAGAAUGGAAUUUAUUUUUUGUUUGGAAUUUUAUCUGGGAUUUGGAUAGUUAAAUUAAAAAGUAACUUGGAAUCAUAUUCAGAUUUGUAUUCAAAUUCAGGUAUUUUUCGCUUGAACUUUUAUUAAAGGUGGCGUUUGGUUUGCAACUUGAAAUCGGAUUCGAAUUUGGAAUCAUUCAUUUUGGGUUUGGAAUAAGGUCAUUCAUUGGAAUACAUUUGUUUGGUUCAAAUUCCUGGAAUGGUUAUCAUUAUUAUAGUUGAUGUUUGAUUCGUAGUAGGGGUGGGCACGGGUCGGGUACCCGCCCCGAACGCUAAUUGACUGACCCGACCCUAACAUAUCGGGUCACUAUUUUUUUGACCCUAAUCCGCUCCGAUGUUUAACGGGUACCCGAUCCUUGGAUACCCGAAAAAUAGGGGCGGGUCAUAGGGUACCCGUCCCUAUUUAAAGAAUGCAAAUUCUGCAAACUCAUAAGACAUAAGAUGAUGCAAAUUCUGCAAACUCAUAAGACAUAAGAUGAACCUGCUGGACGAUAGCAUCAUUCAACAAAAAAAAAAGGCAACAACAUCAUUCAAACUAGACAAAGACAAAGCAUAUUCAAAUCUCAAAAAUGAUCAGUAGCAGUAGUUCCACACUAAAUCAUAAAGUUAGAAAUAUCUACUCUUAUACAUAACUUCCAAAAAGGGCAUAUAAAUGAGAAAAAUGUACACUAUAUAGACAUUCUCAAAUCCAGCAAACAUAGCAUGAUGCUAUGUUAGGGUCCCCAAAACAGAACAGCGACAGCGGUAUCGGCGGUGUCCCCAACUAAUCAGAAAUUAAAUAGCAGUAGUAUUACAGAGAAAACAGAGAGACAAAAUCAGCCCACAGGGAAAGUAGAAGCAGUAGGGAGGAAGGAAGGGAGAUGGCGGGGGGGGGGGCGUUUGCAAACAACUGCAAUAAAUUCUCUACUUAAAGAAGGCAGAGGCAGUGACUGCUUCAAUAAACUGCUUGGCAGUAGGCAGCAGCAGCGCUCCAUCGCUGCCAAACCUAAAACUUUUGACACUGCUGCUGUUGCUCAUACUGAUUCAUCAUCAUCAGCUGAUGCUAAUGCUGCUUAUCCAAAGCAAUCUGAUUUCCCCCACCUCCACCACCACGACGCCGUCGAUUCCGAUGGGGUGCCCACUUCAGGAAUAAGCAGACCCCUUUCGGAAAUCUUGAAAGAGCUCAACAAGAAAGUACCAGAUUCUCUGAUCAGUGCCCGCACUGAACCCAAUGGCUUCUCCGUCAAAUACAUCCCCUGGUUUUCCUACUCCCACCACUUCGAUAUAUAUAUAUAUAUGGUUUUUUUUUCCUCUCCCACUUUUAUGCUUAAUGGUUUGUGUCUACUGGAAUUAAACUUACUAGUAGUAAGUGUACUACUUUGCACCAUUGUUUUCUGUAAAAACUGAAUACUAUUGCUUCCCACGUCUCUCACUAUUACUCGAAGAUAGAAAAGGACGACAACGGAGAAACAGGGCUGAAGAGAAAGGGAUUCGAUUCAGGCAGUUUGAGGAGUUUUAACGGUAGUCUUCGGCCUUAGGUUUGAGAGACAAGGGCAUCGGCCACUGAAGAGUGAAGACUGAAGAGUGUCGGCUGAAGCAGAGGCUGAAAUCUGAAUGGAUGACCAACGGAUUGAUUUAGGUUAGGAACUUAGGGUUAAUAACUUAAAAAAUUAAAAAAUUAUCCCUAUAUUUUUUAAUAUUUAUAUAUUAUACCCCCGGGUCGGGUACCCGCGGGUUUUUGCUUUUACGAUCCGUACCCGUAUCCGAAUGUUCCGGAUACCCGACCCUAUCUGAUCCGCUAAGAGAAAUCGGAUCGGAUAUCCUAUUUUUCGGUGCGGAUCGGAUCGGAUCUCUCGGUUUUCGGGUCAACGGGUAUUUUUGCCCACCCAUAGUUCGUAGGCUAUUUCGGGAUAGGAUAUAAUAAAUUUUCAAUUUUAACUUUAGCCUGGAAAAUUGAAAAUAGACUUGUCCUAAAACUUCACAAGAAAAUGUAUAAAACUUAUCAAUAAUCUUGUUAUAUAAUUACAAGUUAUCAUGACCAUAAUAAUAUAACAUAUCAAUAAUUACUUAGAAAUAAUCAUUUAAUAUAAAUAAUAUUUUGUCAUUUCAUUUUGCUAAAGGCAGAAGAUACUACGUAGAAUCUCCAAAUCCCGAAUUUAUAAAAUUAUCAUAACUCAUAUAAAUAAAAUUCAGACAAAAAUCCAAUAUAUUUAUGGCAUAACCCAAAAGAUCAUGAACAAAGUCACAUGUUCCAAAAUAGACAAUAAAAAAGUUUUCAAAAAAUUUAUCACCAUGUUCACUAACUUGUAAUCUUUUAAACGUUCAUGAUAAGUAGCUAUGUUUCAGAAAUUAGAUGAAGGAUAGAGGAGAUUAAUGACAUAUUGUCUUAUCAUGUCAAUAGGAAGGUUAAAGAACAUAUUUAAUUUUGUUGCAUCCACUCCUAUAAUGUUGUCUGCUUUAUAAACAUCUCCACUUGGUAAUCUAAGAUUGACCAACUCAUUAGGCAAAUUAUUGUUUCUAUUUAUAGUUAACUGCUCAUGUUUAUCUUCAUUUGUCAUGACAGUUGUCAUAGUGCUGAAGUUGGUGGCAAUGUCCUCCAUGAAAGAUUAAAAUUGUCUUAUUAGUUGUUGAAAUUGAACAUCAAUGGUCGGCUGUAUUGUAGUUGAUUUCAUUUUUUUUAUGAAUUUUCUAUUUCAAGUGAUGCUUUCUUUUGCUUCUUUGAGUUUCUUGUAUUUCUUGAAACUGUUUGUGUUACUGAAUUUGCUUUUUCAUCAUCAUUAUAAGUUAAAUCUACUUGAACAGUAACCAUUUCCACCUCUUUUUUCAUAAUUUGGACAGCAUGUGCAAAACUUUCAGCAACAACUCCACUAACUCUAUCUCGUCCAUACAUUAUUUCAAGAUUAUCCAAAUAUGAAAAUUUUACAUAGCGAAGGCCUUUUGCUUCUCUAUGUAUUUAAAAAGUAAUAAUCAAAUAAAUAAGAAGAAAUUUAAAUAUUCAUAAAUUUAAAAUAUGAAUAAUUAUUACAACAAAAAAUUUAUAGUUAGAAGCUUUUUUUACGUUACACCAAUCUUCAUACCACUAUCUUUCACAUUGAAUCUUUUUUACAUCAUUCCAUUGACAGCCACUUUCUUUACACAUGUCAGUGAUUACAUGAUAUCUAAAUUUCAAUCAUUUUACCUUUGACUCCAAAUGUGGAGAAACUUAUUUUUCAAAAGUAGGAACCUUGCGAAGUAUUAUCUUGUGUAACUCAUUCAUGUAGUUAUUUUUGAAUCCACCAUCCGUCUUCCAUAAGAGAUCACAAGCUAAUUCGUGUAGUGUUUCAAUCAAUACUUUUACUUCAUUAUCAUUCCAAAAGCUCUUGUUUCUUCCUCGUUCAAGGAUACUUUCAUUUUUCUUCAUCCUAUCAUAAAAUAUUAUUCUAAAUAAUUAUAAGAAUAAUUCAACAAAUGUCAACAAAUGAACUUUAGUUUAAAAGUAAAUUUCAAUUUACAAAUCUACAUAUUUAUCACAACAAAUAGUCAAAAAAGAAAUUAUCAAAUUAUAAAGAAAAAUUUAAUUCAAAUUACAAGUACGGAUUUUUUUUCUCUUUUCUCUCUAGGGCUUCUCUUCGUAGGGCUCCUCUAGGGUUUCAUGGUUUGGCUGAGGGGCAAAGUGCAUCUCUCUCAGCGAAAAAGUCUUUCUCCCAACUCUUCUCACAGCCAACACCGUCUCCCAUUCAAAUUCAGCCAGCGACAUUGUAUAAGGGGGAGGCUGCGGUGGUUUUCUCUUGAGCAGACGCGGACAGACUUGCGGAUCCAUUUCGCUGGGCUUUGGUUAGGAAAUUUUCUCAUGGACGACCUCUUUUGGAGGACAUCCGAAGGUUCUUUGCUGCGUUAAAUUUGCGAGACCACGUCUCCGUUGGGUUGAUGGACUACCGACAUGUGUUGAUUAAGUGUGUAGCGGAGGGUGAUUUCAACAGGAUCUGGACAAGAGGUGUUUGGCAACUGGGAAAGUUUUUGAUGAGAGUGUUUCGAUUGACUAGGAAAUUCCAUGUGCAUAAGGAAUCUUCUCUAGCUCCGGUUUGGGUGGCUCUGCCGGCACUGCCAAUUCAUUAUUUUGACAAGCAUUCUUUGUUUUCCAUUCUAUCUCCAGUUGGACGGUCUUUAUUCUUGGAUUCGGCAACGGCGGCUGGCACACGUCCUAGUGUAGCCAGGGUGUGUGUAGAGGUUGAUAUAGCGAACCCAAUCGUCUAGAGGAUAUGGGUUGUGGUUAAGGGGGAGACAGGAUUUUGGCAAAAAAGUGUGACAGAUGAUGUGCCAUCGUACUGCUCCUUUUGCUGGCUUUUGGGCCAUUCACUGGAGGAGUGUAAGAAAAACUCGCCUAAGUUUGCGUCUCAGCAUCACAAUCACAGGCAGGUGCAGCGUGACCCACAGCUUGAGAGGAAUACCGUACAGGUUAUGCACCUGUGCGCCACCCAGUCACUAAUGGUGCCAAGGAAGCUGAUGCUUCCAAGGCUGCUCCAUAGGAGAGUGCAUCAACAGCUGGCUUUGCUGAUUUCGAAACAAGGGUAGCAGUUGCAGUGGAAGGGAGGCAGCCCGCUGGGCUAGAUGGGCUAGCCGUUGAAGACGACAGAAUUGAGCGAAUGGAGUCUGUUGGCAGAUGUCCCGCUGGUGAAAACCUUGAUGAUACGAGAGAGGGUGCUACUGGGUCUUCGGUUACUGCUGGGCAGGGGGCCAGGUUGCAUGUGACGGAGUGGAUGGGACAUUGGAAGAGGAGCAAGGGGUAAGUGUGGCAGGGCUGGUUUCUCACUAGGGGCAUGAGUGUCAGGUGCAGCAGGACUUCAUGACUCAGGCUCUAUGUGAUAGACAACAGGUUGCUACGGGAUAGAUGAUCUUGUUGCACAGCAGCAAGCUGGGGAGUUUGGUUGUUGAUUUGAGUGGGAAGGAGAAAGUGCUUCACGAUGAAUAUGGGGACGCUGACGUUGAGUUAUAGACUGUCGUGGGGAAUCUAUCCCCAAGGCUAAUUGUUCAACAAGAGAGGGUGGGGGAGUCAGCGGUGAUGGCUUUGAACAUUGACCAAUCUGAGGUAUUUGAGCGAGAUUUCAAGCAAGUGAGAGGGAAGGGUGUGCGCGCUCGUUUUCCCUCUGAUAGACAGCUUCGGUCUGCGACAUCCUCCCAUAACUCUUUUCAGGUAUUAUCUCAUGAUUAAUGGCAUCUUUUGGAAUAUUAGAGGGGUGGCUAAAGCCCCUAAUCUAAGAAGAUUGAUUAAAUUAGUAAAGUUGCAUCAUGCCACGUUCGUUGUGAUAUGUGAGCCCAAACUAGAUGUAUCUAAAAUUGAGUCCAUUCGGUUACGUUUACAUUUAGAUUUUGUGAUUGUGAAUCACUCGGGUGAUAUUUGGGUGUUCUACAGUAGUUCUUUCGUGUGUUCCAUUGUUGUUAAUUCGGGUCAACAUUUAUCUCUUUCUGUGCAAUCUUUGUUGAUGCCCGGCCAAUCAUAAUACCUUUUGUUCAUGCAAAGUGCUUCGUGGAGGAGCGAAGAGAACUUUGGAGCAACUUAUUAGCGGAUAAGCCUAACUCUUUGCCAUGGUGCAUUGGGGGGGAUUUUAAUGUCAUAAUAGCACCUCAUGAAAAACGGGGAGACCGUCUGUUUGAUGUAGUUGAAGGGGUGGAGUUUAUGUCCUUUUUGGAGGAGGCUGGGGUUUUUGACGUGGGCUUUUCGGGACCUAACUUCACGUGGUGUAAUAAUCGGAGAGGUAGAGCUAGAGUUUCGAAGAGAUUGGACAGGCUGUUAAUCAAUGGGGAAUGUUUGGAUUUUUAUGCAGCCAUCUCUGUGGUUCAUUUGGCGAGACAUCUCUCGGACCAUGCGCCAUUGAAGAUUUUGUUUACUUCUUGGAUUGACAAUAAGCCAAGGCCAUUCCGAUUUUUGAAUGUCUGGACAACUAAACCAGAGCUCUUGGAGGUGAUUAGACAUGCCUGGGGUCAAGAAGCCAGUUGUUCCCCAUUACGUGUUUUGUACUCUAAAUUAUUGGCGACGAGGAGGGCUAUUCAGGGUUGGAACAAGAAAUGUUUUGGAAAUGUGUUCGAUGCUGUUUGUGAGGCGAAGGCUGUGGUGCAAAGGGUUGAGGAGGCCGUGGAUCAUGAUGAUUCGGUAGCGGGUCAAGUUGAGCUCAAGAAGGCUUAAGUGGAGCCACGUUAUGCUUUGUCUAUUGAAGAGCAGUACUGGAGUCAAAAGACUCGAGUAAAAUGGCUUCGAAGUGGAGAUCGUAAUUCACGGUAUUUUCAUGCGGUGGUUAGGCAAAGACGGGUCUAAGAAAUGAUAUAUCGAAUACAGAAGUCCAAGGGUGAUUGGGUGGAUACGGAGGCUGAGAUAGCAAGUGAGGCAAUAACGUACUUCUCUGAUCUUUUCUCUGGACCUUUGGAGUCUGCUUCCGAUAUGUUGCACCUCAUUCUACCCUUGAUUACAGGGGAGGACAAUUGCAUGUUAGAGGCGGUUCCUUCUAUAGAGGAGGUUCAUCAAGUGGUGAGGGCACUGUCCUCGAUGGAUUCACGGGUAAAUUUUACACCUUUGCGUGGGAGGUUGUUGCUCAGGAUGUUUAUAAUGCGGUACUCAACUUUUUUUGUAGGGCAGAACUUCCUCUAUUCAUCACCUUUACCUCGAUCGUGCUGAUUCCUAAGGUCUCGAAUCCACAGGAUCUCUCUCAAUUUAGACCGAUUAGCCUGUGUAAUUUCUUUAACAAGUUGUUAUCCAGAAUCUUGGCUGAUAGAGUGGCUGGUGUCUUGCCAAGGAUUAUUUCCCCCAGCAGUCAGGGUUUGUUAAGGGUCGCAAUAUAUCGGAGAACUAUCUGCUAGCUCAGGAGGUGGUGUCGGGUAUUGGGAAAAAAACUAGGGGUGGCAAUGUCGUUUUGAAGUUAAACAUGUCCAAGGCUUAUGACAGGGUAUCUUGGUUGCAUAUUAUUGGUGUCUUGUGGAGGUUUGGUUUCGGCGAGCGCUUCAUAGAUCUGGUAUGGCGGCUAUUGUCUAAUGUUUGGUUCUCAGUAAUUAUCAAUAGGUUUUCGCACGACUUUUUAUAAAUUUAUGAGAGGGUUAUGUCAGGGUGACACGUUGUCACCGGUAUUAUUUAUUAUAGGGGCUGAGGUCCUGUUGAGAGGCUUGAAUGCCCUCAUGGUGCAAUCAGGUUUCUUGGGCUUUAAAGUCUCAUAUAACUGCCCCUCUGUAACUCACAUGGCGUUCGCGAAUGAUGUGCUUAUAUUUGCUAACGAGUCCUCCUCCUCUCUGAAGGACAUUAUACAGGUGUUGGAGAUGUAUCAACGGUGCUCGGUCAGCUGAUAAAUGCUCAAAAAGUGAUUACUUGGUUCAUCCGUCAUUGUCCCCGAUUAGAAGAAUUGAACGUGUCACGAGGUUUACUUGGCAGCCCUUCCCUAUCCGCUACUAGGGUUUUCGCUUUACUUUGGGAGGUGUAAAUCUUCUUAUUAUGGUGAAGUGUGUCAGUCUAUUCUUGGACGGGUCUUGUCAUGGAAAUCGAAGUUUCUAUCUGCGGGGGCAAGAUGGUUUUAAUCAAGCACGUGUUGUCGUCAAUAGUACACUUGAUGUCCGCUGCUGUGAUCCCUAGCUUGGUGUUUAACACUAGAGAGAAGGUUUGCUAGAAUUUUCUGUGGGGUCAACAUCUGAAGAGUAGAAGUUUCACUGGAUACGGUGGGCUCAGCUGUGCUACCCGGUUGAGGAGGGUGGAGUGGGGUUUCGGAGACUAAGGGACGUCUACACAGCUUUCUCAUGUAAACUAUGGUGGAGUUUCUGAAUGGGAACAUCACUGUGGGCUGCUUUCAUGCAAGCUAAGUAUUGCAGAAUGAUCCACCCUUGUCAAGCAGAAAUGAGAUUGACGGAUUCGACAAUUUGGAGGCGGAUGUUGAACGUGAGCCAACAUGUGAACUUUCUAUGGUAUGGUUAGUCAAUGCCGGGUCGUGUCAUUUUUGGUACGACAACUGGGUAGGCAGUGGCGCUUUAUUUCUUAGAGCAGCAAUUGAUCCAUCUCUUUCGUUUUGUAAUUUCAUUACCAAUGGGCACUGGGACGCAAAUCUUUUGCUUCAAACAUUGCCAGGGGCAUUGUUCCCUCCAUCUUACAGCACUCGGUCCAUGACGGAGGGUGUGCAGAUGAAGUCAUUUGGUUGCCAAUGACGUCUGGAACAUUCACAUUAGCAUCUGCUUUUUCGGGACGUUCGACAGGCCCAUAACACGUCGGUGGUUUUCUCUAAGGUUUGGCAUCCUCGGCUCCCUUUGAAAGUGUCAUUCUUUAUGUUGCGGCUUUUGAUAGGGAGGCUACCGCUGCCAGAUACUUUAUGUAGACUUGGGUUCCAUUUGCCUUAAAUGUUUUUGCUGUCAAGCUGCAUUUGAGAAAUCUAUUGAGCAUGUGUUUGCCAAUGGUCACAUAGCGAUGGAGGUCUGGUCUUAUUUUGCAUAUCUGUGCGGUUUGAACUCUCCGGGCUCUUCACUGCGAGCUCCCAUAGUUGACUGGUGGUUGCGGGCACAAGAGUCUGUGACGCGACGUUUUAUUUGCCUUAUCUUUCUAAGUUUUAUCUGUUGGCAUAUUUGGAAGGCUAGAAAUAAAGCAAUGUUUGAGGGUGAACAGAUGCGGUCUUCUGUCAUUUGUCAAGCCAUUUUCUCGAAAAUCAAAUCCAUCAUAGAGAUCCAUUUCAAACAAAUGCUUGGGUUGCAAACAUUCUGUCAGUUAUUCGAUUGGUCAAAUUCCCCUGCCAGUAUAUUUGACUUCAAACUUGUUCGCCGGGAGGCGAAUGAGAUGGGGAGGCUGGUGCUUAAUAACGAUGGUUGCUCUAAGGGUAAUCCAAGAGUGGGUGGAGACGGUGGGGUUCUUCGGGAUUCAAUUGGGUGCCUCUGAUUGCUUUUUCGGCUUUCUUUGAGGAAACUACUUGUCUUCGCGCGGAGACGUUGGCCCUUCUAAUUGGUCUUUAAACGUGUGUUCACUGGGACUUGAGUAAUCUAUGGGUGCAAUCGGACUCAUUGGUCUUAGUUGGGGUUCUCCAGCGGAGCAUUCAGUGCCCGUGGCAAAUCCGUAGAGAAGUCCGGUAGAUUUUGCAGUUAGUCGAGGAUCUUGCUCGAUUCUCACAUUGUUACAGGGAAGCUAAUACAGUUGCUGAUGCAUUGGAUUUAUAAGAAUCGCAAAGAUAUAUAUGUACAACCAAACUUAUUAUCCUCCCUUUCCCUCAGUGGAGGUCAAAUUCUUACAACUGUACUGAACUAGAUCUACAUCACAGACUUGGAGACCGCCUAAAAUAGAUCUAUAUGCUUUUGAUGUUCUCAAGGCAUGUUUAAAUGCACCUACAUUAUCUAAUGACACAGUCAGUUUUUUCCUUAGGAAAUUAUGACCUCCAUAGGUGCGCAACAGUUUGCAACUAUUUGGGUUCCAGCUUAUAUAUUCUAUCAAUUUGAUCAACCAAAAUGGGGUACUUUAAAAUCCGACUCCUAAUAAGAAGCCGAGCAUCUGCAGGUUUUCUGAUGUGUGUGCUUCUCCAAAUUCUGAUUUUUUCAGAAUAAAAAACUUGGAAUGCUUUGCAAAAAGUAAUUUACAUACAAAUAAACCAUCUAGCAACCAACUUAUAGCAAGCCUUCGGCAACAUGUGGAAAAGGGAGGACUGCACAAUUUUUUAUGUGACAAUACAUCAGCAAGUAUCCUAAGCUAUAUAAAGGCCAUAAAAAAUGCUUCUGAUUUCCAUAAGCACUUGCUCAGGUUCCUAAGAUGCUUUUUAUCGAGAAAGAAACAGAAAAACUGAAGACUGCUACACCAGAUAUCAUUUUCUUCUCAAACAUGUUCAAAGCAAAUCCACAUUUGCAUGAUCUAGCCAUCACUAAAGCAAGCAACAAAAGGACAAUACACUGAGCUGUCAGAAAAGGGGGAUAACACUACAACAGGAAUUACAAUGCACUCCAAACUUGGGAAACUUUGGCACAGGCACUUAUAGCUGGAAAGAGAAGUGCAGCUUUUAGGUUCUUCUGACUGGCAUUUUGUGGAAGAUAUUCUGAUAAUUAGUAGAUGGCUUUCAGUUGAGUUAUCAAACUUACCGUCUAACCCAAGUAGCCAGAGUAUAAGAACAUAGAAAAUUACAUGUAUUUCCAAAGUAAGAUGCACAGGUAAUGAUGCACUAAAUAAUAACCAGGAAGUCAGAAAAAAAAAAAGAAAAAAAAAGGAAGUUGAAUAAAAGAGUUCCUGGCAUACGCAGGAAUGCAAAAAGCAACAAAAACAAGAUGAACAUAAAGAAAGAUAUAAAUGCAUCAGCAAUCUGAAAAGCGUUAAAUUUAUCAACCACAAAAAGAACUAUAAUUUAGCUAUAUGUCAGGUAACAUGUACCUUAUUUGAUAAAUGAUCUAAUAGAGCUCGGAUAAGCCAAGGCAGUGACCUAGAACCCAGUAGCCUAACAAUGGAGUACAUGUGAGGUAUCCCAAAAAAUCCACUAUGUAAUCGAGCAAAACUCUGGUAUGCUGAAUUCAGAUCCUACAAAAAGGGCAAAAAACAAGGACAAGUUGAUAAAUGUUUAUGAGAAGGUUUGGUUAUCAAGUACUACCACUCAAACAAAAACAAGCAGUUGAAGACCAACAGCAAGAAAAUGAGGUAUGAAGAACUAAUGAACAAAGCUUCUAGAGAAAGACAGCAACUUGCAUAAUCGUUGAAUCCUAUACUUUGGACAUCAUCUUCAAUUAACUCUUUUCAAUGUUUUGCCAGUACUGAAAAAAUGAUAAGGCAUCCUAUCUUUGUAGUGUUUUACCAGAUUUCGGCACCUUAGUAGCAAAUAUAGCAAGCAAAUUUUGUGACACUGAAUUCAAAACUGAAGUUUCCAGUUUGACUUCAUGUAAGUUUUAGGAGGGAGUGUAAAAAUGGUGACAUUCAAACACACAGCCAAAACAAUGUAGAAAAGAAGAGGGUAACGUCUGACCCCUCAACAUAUUUCUUAAACCAUUCAGAGAGACUCACACACUCCAAUAAGCUAUUUAUGAUUUAGAAAGUACCAAAUCCCAAUAUUAGAAGUUUUAAUCAUUAUCGUAAUCAAAGAAGGAAACAUGUCGGGCAUUCAAUUUUUGUAAAGUGGAGCAUAUACUUGAUCUUUCUGUUUCAGAUAUCUCCAACUUGUAGACAUGAGGAAAUAGGAUAGUCUACCAACUAAAAUAGAAAAAUUACAAGAACCAAUCCUACUUGAGCAACCAUUUCCUACCAUCCGUUAAUUAGACUUAUGUUACCCUUCGCAGUCCAUUCCUCCAUUGGGCAGUCAGUUAGGGUUAUCAAAUAUUUUCUCCAUGGCUCCAACUCACCCACAUUAAUUAAUUUUUCAUGUACUUACCCAGCCAAACUUGUUAUGGUAAUAUGUCAACAAUAGUAAUAUCGAAUAAUGAAGUAAAACGUCCAAAGCCUAACUUUUCCCAUUUUAAGCCUCUAACCAAAUGUUUGUGCAAAUCACAAUGCAGACCAUUAUUAGCACCAUUUAAGCUCAACUUAGGAGACAAAAGCACGAGUAGGUUUUUGAUUUGUUGGUAUUUUAGCAAAAGAGCUAUUACUGAAAUCAUAUGAGAUUAAAAAAAGGAAAGGUACUUGGAAGAGGACAUAGCAAGGAAAGCAAGCCACGCAGCCAUUUGCAGGUGUUUGACUCAAAGCAAUUUAUUUACCAUGUGUAACCCGUUGAAAUAUUUUCAUAAAACAGAAUGUUGACCUUGCAAUAAAGCUACACUGGAUGAAUCAACUUUGAACUAUUGAUUGAAUUUAUUGAUUUAGUGAUAUUUUCUUACCUGAGUACCACAGUAGAAAUUAGGCUUUGCAUAGGGGACCGAUGGCUUCUGAACGGGAACAAUAGGAACUCUUGAUGAUCGAACAAAACGCUGAGUUGUGUUGCAUAGGAUGAAGUUUGGCAGGAAGUCAUUUUGCAUCUCUGUCCAUAUCUGGAAAUAUAUCCAAACUGUCGUAAGCAACUAAAUUUGUUGAGAGAGAGAGACAGAGAGAAACGAAAGGUACAGGCAUUCCUGAAAUCAAGAAAAGUUGUAAAAGUCCAGCAACAUUCAUUCUCAGUGUAUACUUUAGAUUAAGCUUUUUUUUUUUUGGCUUUACCAUUGUGCAUGAACUAGAAUUGCUCAAUCUUCUACUAUGUGUUUAAUACUAUUUGACUCCAAGAAACUCCAAUUUCGACCACUAGACACCAUUUCCAAAUCAAAUCUCUUAGAAUUUUAAAUGAGGAUAACUGUACAUAUCCUAACGUGAAAGAAAACAUACAAGGCCUUAACUAUAUGUGACUACAUAGGCCAUUUUCUUCUUCCAAAGCAAACUUCAUGCUAUAUUUUCUUUUAGUACAAAUCAUGCUCUUAAUUGGAGCCUUCAGAGUUUAACACAUUCAAUAGUUACUCGUUGUGUAUAACAACAAAGAACUUCUGAAAAGUGCAAGGCAAUUCGUACACCACAGUCAGCUGAUGACUGAAAUCAGGUUCACAAACUAUACAUCAUUUUCAUCAUAUCAUGCAACCAUGGACAUGUGCAAUCGGCUAAAACUUACAGGGCUUACCAUGAUUAAUAUUUCUCACUAUACAUUUUAUACUAACAUAUAGAAGUCAAGUCAUCAUGGUUAUGUGUCCUUAAUUAAAAGAAAUCAGCAAAUGAACCAUGAAUCCACCAUCGCUUUAUGCUAUGUACUUUAACAAUCUAUGAAGAAACUAAAAUAAAAAGGUUGAACUUAGUGCAACUUCUUCUGAACUGUAUGCCCUUUUCACUUGAAAUGUUUACUUUACUGUGCUUAAUAUAAAGUUGCUCCACUUCACAUGUCAAUAGCCACAACCUAUGUGCUAUACUGGGAUCUGCACUUAAGCACACACUUUACACUUUUGACUGCUAUUCACCAGAGAUUUAGCAUAAGAAACAAAUACAAGAAAAAAGAAAAAUAAAACAUUACAGAUGCCAAAUUUUGCUCACUCAAAUGACUAAUAAUUCAAAAAAAAAAACCUCUCCUCAAUGUAUGCUCUUCAUAGCUUAGUUUAUUCAGCAACAAAGAGAUUUUGGUCUUUUAACUUUCCAAAAAAAAAAAGAAGAAUUGGCAAAAUGCGAGGUAAACAGAAUCUGAAGUGAUGGGGGGGACUAAACCUUCAGAAUAAUAGUAUCUGAAGUGAGAGAAAAUUGAGGACCAGGAGGUGAUAGAGUCGUGCAAAACCAUAAUUGCUUAUUUAAAUGGGCAAGUAAUAGUUUAGUUUAUCAACCAACAUUCACUAUCAUGUUGUCACUAUAAAAGUACGUACUUAUCGUCAAAAUUGCCCUAUUACUUCAAGUAGAGAGAACAAAUUCAAAUAUUUUUUUUCAAAUUGAAUCAAAGUCUAGAAAACAACUGAUCAUCAAAUUCAAUCAAAUGACUUUAUCUAUUGCUCAUUGACUCCUAUAUGUACUGUUUCUCUCCUUUCCAGUUUAACCAUCAUGAAUUUCAGUACAGAUGCCAAUGAUCAUCAAAUUGCCUUGAACAAAAUAUUCAUCAUUAUGAGUUUAGACCAUCAAUUUGUGGUGCUUCCGAAAAUCAAUUAACACAUGAACUAGCUUCAAUAAAUAAGCGAAAGAAAAAUGUUAGUCACCCAUUUCCUGUGCAUUAGACUGGUCAUUAGUCUACAGUCCUUGACAAUUUGAAGAAAAAUAUAGGGUAAAUUACUUAUUACCCCCUGUGGUUUUACAUAAUGCCAGAUAACCCCCCCCCAGGGUUUUAAAAUAGCCACAUAACCCACCCUGGUUUUAUGUAAAGUGGAAAAUGAACGGAAUGCACAAUCAGUUACGGUGUUUAUACCAAACGCACUUUAAAAGCGCCUGUGAUAAAAUCUUAAUAUCCAUGUAACCCCCUUAUAGUUCGUAUAAAUAUCCACUUUAGCCCUCGUGGUUUUUGCAUUUAUCCACGUAAUCCCCUAUGCUUUUAUUUUUAGCAUUUAAGUAAGGGCACUAUUAGUAUUUCAACUAACAACGUUACAUAGGCUAUUUUCUAUCAAGUUUCCACUUUACAUAAAACCAUUGGGGAGGAAGUGGAAAUUUUGAAAUGUUAGGGGGUCAUGUGACAAUAGGUGAAACCACAGGGGGGUUAUAUGUAAUUUACCCAAAAAUAUAUGGUCUCCCAUUUAAAUUAAGGUUUUUUACUAUUUUAAACAUUUUCUCCUUAACAUUUUAAAAGAGUUGUUACAGGUUGAAACUGUUAGCUGAACAAAGUAUAAAUUUUUUUUUUUGCCAUUGUCCAUUUAUAAGUAGCAUAAUACCUCAAAUAGCCACCUUUUCGCAUCAACAUUAGCUACAAGACACACAUAAGAAUUUCCCUACCAGAAGCAGACCACUAACAUACACAAAUAUAACACCUCAUGGAGCUGUGCAGACUUCUUCUUUUUGUAUUUAAAAACAGGUGUAUCGAUCAGUCAUCUGAAGCUCCUUGAGUUGAAGCAUGACCUAUUAGCAUUUAUCCAAUCCUCUCUGAAGAACUGGCUGGAAUCCCAGAUCUGAGUGUUUGUCCAUGAAAGGAAGGGGGAGGGGGGGGCAACAGAAAUUUUGCAACAGAAAUAAUAAUUCUAACCUGAGAAGCAAGCCGACUGGAGUAGGAAACGAGGGACACAUUCUCUUGCAUUUCAUUGAGCAUAAGAUUAAAUGAAUCUAUUGUAAGAUCUUUUGACAGUAAUUCAUGAGCAAGUUGUAAGACGCUGAGAAGUUUUUCCAAUUCCUGAAACCACAGUAACAAAUCUGCGAAGAUGAGCACCAAGAUACUCAAGAACCAAUAUACUGGAGAAAAUGGUACUCAAGGAUUACUCACAACAAUAGCACAUAAAUCCUGAGACUCAAAGCGGUCAAAUAAAAAUUCAAUGUUGUCUCUGAAUACUUUGUUCAUUCUUGCAGCAAUCAAGCUUCUCAGGUCAAUUGUCCGUCCAAGCAACUGUAUUCAAUCACCGAAGGGAAAAAAAAUCAUACAAGACAGAAUAAAUGCAUAUGAACAACUGAAACUAAUUCCAAUCAUAGUCAGUCUACCUACAUGCGUACCAGUAAAAUAUGAAGCAGUACAGUAAUAUUUAUGAUACACUUGUUAACGAGUCAUGACAAAUUAAUAUGAUCAACGGGAAAUAAUGAUCAAAAUUCCCUCUUGAAGAUAAAUGAGACAACACUCCAAACAUACAGCCACGAGUCUUACAAGUUUAGACCUCAUCCAUCAGCUAUGAAAGCUAUACAUAACCAGCUAUAGAUCCUUCAGCUAUGAAAGCUAUGCUUCAAGGCUCAUGAAAUAUCACCAAGUUUAAAUCUUUUUCCUCCAAGAAAAGCCACCCUGCAGUGGCAGGACAUUUGCCUAAAGCUUAUCAUUAUAUAUAUCAAUUCUUUUACAUUUCAGUCAUCAUACCAUCAUUAAUUGAAUAACCUCUUUGCCACAUAGUUUAUUAAAUUAUUACUAAAAAUAGCCAGCUUAAACUUUGUUUUCUUUAGAAACCUGUUGCUUCUACCAUUAAAACAUCCCAUUUUUUUCUGCAGAAUGCAGUCAAGCUUUUUCCUGGACAACUAGGUAUGAAUGUAGCAAAGCAUUUUUGUCUGUAUCAUUAUUGUCGAUAUUCAAGAAAUUGUUUAUAGAAGGUCAAAUGUAAUUAUUCUAUUUUCUCAUUUUGGACAGCAGAAGUAGAUAUAAACCUAAAUUUUCACAAUUUAUGCUGUAUGACAUUCCAAGGCAGAAAAUACUGCAGAAAAAGAUGUCCAGCAUAUGACAAUCCUGUAGGAUAAGAUCCCAAAUGAAUAUAUGCUUUGAUUGAACCAUCAUAAUCUCCAACUUAACAAACAUCAUGAGAAAAUUUGGAGGAAUUGAAACCAAGACUCAUUCAAUCACCAGGCACGUUUAGUAACAAAUCAAAACAAAGCCUAAGCCAUGGGAUAACAGAAAAAAGAAUUCUUUAUUGGUAUGACAUCAAGAUUUUCGCACCUUCACUCUAGUCAUUUUCAGAAGCGCAGUAUAUCUCAUUGGUUGGAGUGAAAACUUUUCACCAAUAUCCAGUGCAAAGAGGAAAGAAGGAUCAAGUAAUUCACUGCAGAAUUUGACAACAGAUGAGAGUUGUUUCACAUAAAAUAAUUUCUGGUAGGCAAAAAACUUAAAUGCAGAACUACAUACCUAGCUGCCCAGCUCUUAUAGUAAGUAAAAAUAGAGUCACACAACUUUGAAACAAAUAUAUCAAAGCAAUUGUCCACCUGAUGGAAAGAAAAAGAUAAUUAUGCAUGGUUUUCUGUGGUGGGAAAGUAUUUCAGGAAGAAAUCCCUCGUAAAAGUUAAGAAGCUAAAGAAACCCACUAUAAGAAUAAAAAAUAAAAAGAAAAAUAAAAAAGAAAAGACAAACAGUAUUUAUACUUCUAGAAUAUUAAAUCCCAGGUAUGACAGUCACAAAUAUUCAACAUUGAGUUAAUAUUCUUGGUACUCACUAGUCAUGAAUCAAUCUACAACACUGGCAUGAGAGGUUCUCCGUUACAAAAAUUCAAAGAGAUAAAUAUGGGAAAAACUACUAUUCAUUGGACGAGUUGUGAUAGCUAUUACCACAUUAUUGACCUACUCAUAAAGUUAACAGCAAAAUUUCCUAGUUUCAUGUCCUGAUUAUCUAAUUAAAUAUUAUACGAUCCAGAUUCCUCUAGCAAACUCAACUGAAGUGUUUAUCAACUAUAAACGCUUCAUCUAUCAACAGCUUCUUUUGUUUUAAGUUUCUGAUGAGCAAUCAGCACUAGUAAGUAAAAUACCUCCGCUUCAAUUUCAUCAUAGAGGAAACGCUGCUUGAGGACAACCAAAGCUUGAUGGGCAGCAUCAUUAUAGAUGUCAAAUGGCAUUAAGAUACUCUCAAGAAGACCCAUGGUUUGAGACUCCAUAACAUGAUCCACAAGCAUCCAAGGAAGAGAGCAUUCGAUUGGAAACUGCAAGCAAAAUACAAGUCCUUUAAACACAAGGAAACUACAAUUGGAGAUAGAAGAACCUCAAUUAAGAUGCAGGAGAAACCCUAAAGGAUACGGCAGUUCCUAUACUGUAAAAAUUGGAUGCUGAAAUUUUGACAAGUUCACUAUUUCAUUUUCAGAUCUGGAAGUUAGGCCUUGUUUGAUAAUCCAAUUCAGCACUUAACUUAAUAGAUUCAGAUCUUAACAUAUUCAUACCGUUUGAUAACCAAAAACUGAACAUCUGAAUUAAUUAAGUGGCACUAAAUUUUCUAGGCAAAACUUGACAUUAAAUUCCUGAGAUGCAGCAGUACUAUGCAUGCAAGUUGAUAUCCAUACUAAGUUAGACACCAAAUCAUCAAAAAUUAAUCUGAGAAAAGAUUAAGAGCGAAAAGUACUUAUUUUCAAAAAAACAAAAAAAAAAAAGAAAAAAGAAAAAUGAGUUACUGCUGCAGAUCAAUCUGCAUUACGAAGAGAGGAGCUAGUAAAAUAUAUCUUAGAAAUGUAUUUAAAUGUACAUCUACCUGAAUAACACGAGCUCCCAAAAUUAAGUGAUAAACUAUUCACCACUGAAUGUGAUAUGCACUCAAAUGUAUUAGAUUUAAUACUUAACAAUUCAAUAACUUAAUGGAUUCAGACUUCAGAUUUCAGAUUUCAGACGUCAAUUUUAUCAAACGCACCCUUAGUCUUAUAAGUCUCAAUGUUAAGUGACAUUAAAUUCUUGAGAUGCAGCAGUCCUAUGCAUGCAAUUUGAUAUCCAUACUAAGUUAGACACCAAAUUAUCAAAAGUUAAUCUAAGAAAAGAUGAAGUCAGGGUGAAAAGUACUUAUUUUAAAAAAAAAACAAAAAAAAGAAAAGAAAAAUGAGUUACUGCAGCAGAUCAAUCUGCAUUACGAAGAGAGGAGCUAGUAAAAUAUAUCUUAGAAAUGUAUUUAGAUGUUCAUCUACCUGAAUAACACGAGAAGAUUCCACAUAAAAUUCCCUAAACCAUAAGAAACCAAGAUCUGUGAUUGUGGCAACUGUUGCUGCAUUAAGGAAAAGCUCACAGUUAUUUAACUCGAAAUCUACUAAGAAAGAUAAUUGCUAUCAGCAUUUCAAGUACUUGACUACUUACUGAUAUUUAUUAAGAUGUACAUAUACAGAAAGGUUAGAAGAAUAGGAAUGGACAAGUUAGCCAAUGAACAGUAUCACUGAGAUUUAAGUGCUUCUCCAGCAAAGAUUGAUCAUCAUGCUAUAGCAACACUGCUGUUUUUAAACACAGAAUUGGACAAGCAAAUUCAAACUAAGCAUAAAUAUGCCUAGAUACACCAGAAAGAGCAAAAAGAUUCUAAGAAUCCACAUAUUUUGAGAAUUGAAAAAUGCCAGAGUUAAUAGAACAAAACACAAUUACUUUUUGCAUUAUAUGCCUUCCAUACAAGUGUGUCAUGCACUGGCCUCCAAACCCAUAUCAAGAAGAAUAAUUUUGAAAUUUACAUCACCUUGUAAAACAGAAAAGUAGAAAUCAUAGACAUAUGUAUAUACAAGGGAAAAUUUGUUUGGGGGGGGGGGGCAAACUUCUAUUCCUAAUUAAAACAGAGGAAGAACCUGUCCAAUUUACAGCAGGGCACGUAUACUCACUUUUAAUAGAAUGUACACUUCUUUUGUGUACAUUAGUAUCACAUUAUGUUAUAGAAAUGCCCUUGCAGUAAGCACCUUUCUAAUGCAGCCUGUGCAGAAAUAUUUCCUACAGAUGGUUUACAUUCAAAUAGACCAUACUUGACCCAUUGCUGCAAAGAACGUGACACUAAUGCAUGAGGAUCUAGGUUCAUGGUAUCUGAAAGGCUAGGCACAAAAUGCUUUAAGAUUCUAGUAUGCAAGGAUACUGAUUUUGUAUGUCAAACCAUUUAGCUUCUAGCCAACGUGGAGAUGAGUCUUUAGACGAAAUGAUCAAUCAAAGAUUACUUUUGUAUCUCAGCCUGGAAUAAGUUGCAUAACUCCCAGUGUUUAAAACCUUCAUAAAGAAAUAGUUUCAACCAUCUUUGUAUCAACAAAUUUCCUGUUGUCAGUUCGAAUAAUGUCAGAUGAAUCUCACAGCAAACUCAAAAUUUAUAGUCUUGACUACCUAGAGAUGUAGACCUAUGAGGUAAUAAAAUUUAGGCCCAACACUUACAUCGUAAAUUAGAUGAUAAAAAUGACAAAUUGGACAACAUGGAGACAAGCAGUGGACCAGAAAAGACAUCUAGCCUUGCACUUAAGGUCAAUAUUUGAUGCUGAAUAAUGGACAAAAAAGCAUGCGGCCCAAGUAGAUAAGACAGGACAAUGCUAUCUCUGAGCCUAAACUGAGUGAAAGAUUGUUGUAAAGAACAUCAUUGAAAAAAAAAUGAAAAAAAGGGUGGACAAAUAAAGAAAUCAAAGAGAACUAUCAGUUUCAAUAGAGUAGAGAGGGAGCUCUACAAAGAUAAAUCAACACAAACUCUUUGGCUCUUCCAAAGAAUAUGGCCAGUUAUAUUCAUUCACUACAAAGUCAAAUUUCUUCUCCUAGGUCCAGUAUUUACCACAAUAAAUCUGGAAACUUCAGAAGAUAAACUCCACUGUAAAAACAACCAUGUGUGACUGGAACUUCGUAGAGAACACUUCUUUUCCAAUUUUGGCAAAUAAAUAAGCUUCUAAGGAUUUCACUGAGGUUAUACAAUUUAAUAGCAUGCACUGGUAUACACGGACAUUUACCAGAUGUCUCAUUAUCCACAGCCUUCCGGUUAAUCUUUUGCCAACACAAACAUUUUUGUAAACAUGAUGAUGUUUAACAGAGCCAGAGUAACAUGAUGUUGUUUAACAGAGCCAGAGUAAAGUAAGCUUGAAGAUUAAGUGACCAGUAGUUAAAUCCGUCAAGCCUGUACAAGUAGUGAAGAAGUAUAGAGAGCUUUUACAUUUUGUGCUUUUAAAUUAAUGUGGAGACAAGUAUCAUGAACUGAUAACCUAGGAUACCAAACCAAGUCGUAAACAUGAUGUUAUAAUUAAAUCCAUUGCAACUAUGCAGUGCAGAAUCUAAUAUGUGGUACCAACAUAAAACAUAGGGACAAAGGAUUAUGCAUAAUGAGCUUAGAAAUGAUCAAUUUGCCAGACCUGUAUAAUCGAUUACAUGCAGGAAAAAUCCAAGCUUGUAGAAGAACGUUUCUAGCUGUUUCAAGUCAUUAACAGGAAUUUCAGAACCAGUAUUCCCAAAUAGACCACCUGGUUUCCUCAUAUUUCCACCCGAUACCACCUCAUAUAUUAGAAACUGCAAGCAAUGAACCUGAGGAGUAGGAGAUAACACUAAGUUUCAAUAUUUUAUCCCAGGAAUGUUAUCUAGGAUAUUUAGCACAUAGUCAAACAUGAAUUUAGUCUAAUGCCUUCAUGACAGCAGCAAGAAUUAAGCACAUGCAGAUUACGGAAGACAGUUGACGUUUAAUUGGCAACUGAUAUUUUGUAAACAUUGCAUUAGUGAAUUUGCAAAAAGGUAGGAGAUCCUUUCAAUAAAGUUGCCAUGUCUCUCUUUGUAUUAUUUCUGAACUACCAUAAAAUUUUUUCAGAGCAACAAAAAUGCAAUGAGGUCACCAUAUUUUCAGCUGGUACCAAAAGCAGGUCAGGUUGUGGAGAAGGGGCAUAGGUGAGACAAACAGUCACAAGAAUAACAUAGAACACAAGCAAAUAAAUUGGAGGUAAACCUGUGCAGCUGUUGGUGCUACAGGCCUUGGAUAGAAGAAGUUCACUUUGCUUUCUUCACCUGCAUGGGGAAAUGAUUGUAAAUCUGACUCGGGUUUACUUGUAUUUGCCAUCCAGUCAGCUGAAAGCGUCCGCAUGUCAGAGAGUAUCCUGAAAUUAGCCAUAUACGUAAAGUGUUAGAGGACAGCAAAUAUUUUUGGUCCCACUUAGAUUCUGCUCUCACUCUGAGGUGCCUGAACUCAAAAAACAUACAGACUAGGCUUGUAAUAAUCCCUUUAAGCACAAGAAUAGACAAGGAAAAUAAAAUGGGUAAAUAUCGUUAUAAGGAUAAUAGAAGUACCCGCAUUCAUAGCACCAAGAAAUGUGGACCUAAGGAAACUUGAAAAUUAAGAAAGACACGAACUGAAGCACAAAAAAUCUCAGGAAGCUUCUAUUUGCAUCAGGACCAAUGAUGUUUAUGGCCACAAGGGAACCUCAAAGUAGGUAGACUGUAACUUGUAAAUGGAAAGACUGUGUAAUUCAAGAGAUGGUUCACAACUUGUCCAGAAAAAUGACUGCCUGAUUUACCAAAGCGCAUAUAUUUCUACCUCGUGCACUUCUGCAAAUACAGUCCCAGUUUAGGAAUUGGAACACACACAUAAUAAACAUCUUCUCACUUUUCUCCUCAUGCAAUGACCUUGACAUCAUAUAUCUGGAUUGCAGAACAAUAUUAAAAUUUUCUAGACUCAAAGUAGUGUUUUCUGUACCCUAAUAAGGAAUAAGAAACUUUUUUCCCUGACAUAAGUUACUCCGUUAACUUUGUAUCAGCAAAUUACAGUUGGCUAGAGCAAACAAAGCAUACUGUAAACUGCUUAUUGUUUAUCUCCUGAUUCCAGGAAGAGAUUAUGGACAUUUAGAAGGAAAAACCUUUUCCCGUGUGCAGAUCAAAUACAUAAUGGACUCCAACAAUAGAGUACUAACUUCUUUCUGAAGCACCAUUUCAAGAAAAACUAAAGCAGCUAUGACAACAGUAUCCAUUCAGUAGAAAUGACUAAUAUAUGUUUGUGUCUGAACAGAUUUAUUUUGCAACUGAGAGAUUUAGUGGACCCAACAAGAAAGUUAUCAUUUUGCAUCAUGUUGAAACUGUAAAAUAUUUUCUGUCACAGAAAUUUCAGUUUCUAAUCAAAGGUUUUUAUCAUUGCUCCAACAUCCAUGUUUCUCAACAUUAAGUAUGAUUACAACAUUGGUACUACAAUCAUUGUCUUACUCUAGGUACACGUGAAAAUACAACUACUACAAGCUUUUGAGAAAAUGUUUUGGACAGUUAAACUCUCUUUCUGACUGUCUUUUGUAAAAUGCCAAUGGAGAAAAACGAAGAAACAAGUUCCAACCUGGAAAGAUCCUUUUUCUUCCGAAAGGUGGUGCGUAACAUAGUAGCCAGCGUGUUUUGAACGAAGUCUUGGACCUCUGCAUGGAUAGUCUCCCAUAAUGCAUCAGCCACCAAUGUAUCAACCUUCUGCAACAUUGACCCAAUGCUUUUGAUGUAGCUCACAAGUUCAACUAAAGCUUUCCUUUCCUCAGCACUAUAAUUAUAUCGUACCACCUAGAUGAUAUUAAAAAUAGUAACAUCAUUCAACUCUUGACUGACAAUCUGUGAACUUAUGAAGCCAAUAAAUGAUAUAGUAUCACAGAAAUAAGCAUUUCAUGGCAGAAGGCUGAGCAUAGACGGUAAUAGCUGUGGCAAAGACAACCAGGAAAAGAACAACGCUAGCAGCAGCUUCACAGAAGCUUUUGGUCAACAAAAGCCGUAGAAGAAGGCAACCAGAGGACAGACCAAGCAAGCUGAAAUGAAAAACUCAGGCACGUGUAUGAUGCAGGGUAAUGAGAAACACAAUAUACCAAAAGAGAAGAACCUUGAACUUGGGAAGAAACACUUUUGGAACUUCCCAAGGAUUUCAAACUGACUUUCAUUAAAUUGUUGCAAGUAUACAUAGCCCAAGAAAAUCUCGUCUAAUGCUUCACUAGGAAGGUUUAAUAUAGUGAUUUGAUGACAAAAAUGUGCUAUUAGACCUUAGGCUCCAGUUUGUUCUUGGGCAACAAAGUUUUACUUGGAGAUCAAGUAGUUCUCGUACCCAAGGAUAUUUAUCAUAUAAAGUUGCCAUGUAUCAAGUGUAUGAGGCAGGUUACGGGAUGAAGAUUAUUUCUGGAAAUGAACUAUCCUCUGCAGAGAUUGUGACGCCUAGGUUAUUUUUUCUCUUUAGCUUCUACUUCUUCCUCCCCUCCUCUAAAUUCUGCUCUUCUCUCUUUCUAAAGUCUUUUUAAUAUACAUAUUGAUCAUAAUCUUCUAAAUUUCGCCAUUCUAAAAACUUUUGAAUUCCAAAUCAAUGCACACCCCUUCUACUUGUAUAACCCCCCAUUCACACAAAACCGCAGUUACAGUAAGUAUUAUACAUGGAUGAUGCUU